rnacentral:lncRNA from 1 species
GUCAAGAAAAAUCUCUCAUGGCUUAACAAAUAACAAUUGUCUCGCUCUGAAUCAGAGAGAAGUGAAAAAAUAUACAUUACAAUACAUCACACAAUGUUUAAAAGUUUGCAAGUUAACACAGGAUGUUUUUUCUUUAUUUAAGACAUCAACGUAGUAGUUCAGAAUCAGAUUAGAAAGUUGAACAUCCCUACAACAACUAAUACAAGAAUAGACAAUGAAAUGGGGGCAUGAAAUCCUUCUACUUUUACAGCUUCCAUUCCUCAUGAUGAAUUCGCCCUANNNNNNNNNNNNNNNNNNNNNNNNNNNNNNNNNNNNNNNNNNNNNNNNNNNNNNNNNNNNNNNNNNNNNNNNNNNNNNNNNNNNNNNNNNNNNNNNNNNNAUACGUCUCCAUCGUAUGUACUUUUCCAAACUCUUUUUCCCUUGUUUUGGACUCUAAUUUGCAUGGUUUGAAUGGAACUAACCCGGACUAACGUUGUUUUCAGCAGAAUUGCAAUGGUGUUGUUUUUGCGCAGAAAUAAAAGUUCUCGGAAUGACCUGAGAAUUUACCAAGAAUUUUUGUGGAAUAUAUAAAAAAUACUGGCGCAAGAAUCAACGGAGGAAGUGGAGCUGGAGCCCACAAGCCCACCAGGCGCGGGCCCACCCUCGCCCGCCUGGCAGGCUUGUGGGGCCCAUAGAACUCCACCGCCUCCAAUCUCAGGUAUAUUUAGUCCCUUUCGUCCGGAAAAAAAUCAAGGAGAAGAGUUCAUCGCGUUUUCCGAUACGGAGGCGCCGCCACCUCCUAUUCUUCCUCUCGAGAGCAGAUCUGGAGUCCAUUCUGGGCUCCGGAGAGGGGAGAUCGUCGCCAUCGUCAUCACCAACCUUCCUUCAUCGCCAAUUCCAUGAUGCUCUUCACCGUUCGUGAGUAAUCAUAUCGUAGGCUUGCUGGACGGUGAUGGGGUGGUUGAGAUCUAUCAUAUAAUCGAGUUAGUUUUGACGGGGNNNNNNNNNNNNNNNNNNNNNNNNNNNNNNNNNNNNNNNNNNNNNNNNNNNNNNNNNNNNNNNNNNNNNNNNNNNNNNNNNNNNNNNNNNNNNNNNNNNNNNNNNNNNNNNNNNNNNNNNNNNNNNNNNNNNNNNNNNNNNNNNNNNNNNNNNNNNNNNNNNNNNNNNNNNNNNNNNNNNNNNNNNNNNNNNNNNNNNNNNNNNNNNNNNNNNNNNNNNNNNNNNNNNNNNNNNNNNNNNNNNNNNNNNNNNNNNNNNNNNNNNNNNNNNNNNNNNNNNNNNNNNNNNNNNNNNNNNNNUACUAUGUGUUAUGACCUGGCAACCCCGGAGUGACAAUAGCCGGAACCACUCCGGGAGAUGACCAUAGUAUGAGGAGUUCAUAUAUUCACCAAGUGUUGAUGUGUUGGUCCGGUUCUUUAUUAAAUGGAGAACCUUAAUAUCCUGCAGUUUCCAUUAGGACCCCUGAAAGUGCGUUAUAUCGACUAGAAGGGGGUGAAUAGGAGUUUUUAGAAUUUCAUCACUGAGGAAAUUCCUUUUGAGGAAAUUCCUCACUGAUGACUAACUUACAGCGGAAACGAUUACGGAUCAGACAUGCAACCUUUCACAAUAGCAGUAUUACAGAGUGAAGAAUGUGAGAACAGAUUGCACAGUAAGCAGGCAUGCAGAAUACCGAUGAUGAUUAACUCAAGUGAAGAAUUUGGGGUUGAGUAAAUUCAGAGAAAGUCUUCAGCAAAUUCUUCAAACAGUCACUGUGAAAGUCAUCAACACAUAAUACAGAGAAUGUAAAGAGUUGUGGAAUUAGAACCCGAUUCUUGGUGAAGACUGUUGUUGAUGACCCAGUUCCNNNNNNNNNNNNNNNNNNNNNNNNNNNNNNNNNNNNNNNNNNNNNNNNNNNNNNNNNNNNNNNNNNNNNNNNNNNNNNNNNNNNNNNNNNNNNNNNNNNNAAAUGCCUUGCCCCACACAGGUAUACGAAGUUUCCUAGCUCAUGUUGGUUUCUAUAGAAGGUUCAUUAAAGACUUCUCUAAGAUUUCUAGGCCUCUUACCAACCUCUUGCAGAAGGAUGUUCCUUUUGUUUUUUAUGAGGAUUGUGAGGAAGCUUUCGAAAUACUUAAGAAGGCUUUGAUAACCGCACCUAUUGUUCAACCAGCUGACUGGAACUUGCCCUUUGAAAUCAUGUGUGAUGCUUGUGAUUAUGCUGUUGGUGCUGUUCUAGGACAAAGAGUUGACAAGAAGUUGAAUGUUAUUCACUACGCUAGUAACCCUCUAGACAGUGCCCAACGAAACUAUGCCACUAUGGAAAAGGAGUUUUUAGCAGUGGUGUUUGCAUGUGAAAAGUUUAGAUCUUACAUAGUUGACUCCAAAGUCACUAUUCACUCUGAUCAUGCUGCUAUUAAGUACCUUAUGGAGAAGAAGGACGCUAAGCCUAGGUUGAUCAGAUGGGUCCUCCUGCUACAGGAAUUUGAUUUGCACGUUGUUGACCGAAAGGGUGCUGAUAAUCCUGUAGCAGAUAACUUGUCCAGACUCGAGAAUGUCCUUGAUGACCCACUACCUAUUGAUGAAAACUUUCCUGAUGAGCAAUUAAAUGUCAUUCGCGCUUCACAUAGUGCACCGUGGUAUGCCGAUUAUGCAAAUUAUAUCGUAGCCAAAUACAUACCACCCAGUUUCACCUAUCAGCAAAAGAAGAAAUUCUUCUUUGAUUUGAGACACUACUUUUGGGAUGAUCCUCACCUUUAUAAGGAAGGAGUAGAUGGUGUUAUUAGACGUUGUGUGCCUGAACAUGAACANNNNNNNNNNNNNNNNNNNNNNNNNNNNNNNNNNNNNNNNNNNNNNNNNNNNNNNNNNNNNNNNNNNNNNNNNNNNNNNNNNNNNNNNNNNNNNNNNNNNAAAUAAGCAUGGCAUCAGAAACUAUGAUCUCUAAGUUAUCAUUGCAAACAUGGUUCUCACACAACAAAGCUGAAUCUGGGAUGACAAGCUAGUCAUAUUUACAAAAACAGAACAGAUAGAGUUCAUACCAUCUUUUCCAGUCUCAGUCACUUCAUCAUAUAUCAUCAUUAUUGCCUUUCACUUGCACGAUCGAAUGAUGUGAACAAUAGUAAGAGUGCUCGUGCAAUGCACUAAAGCUGGAAUCUGCGGGCAAACACAAAGGAAAAGACAAAGUAAUAUGGCUCUUUGAAAGCUAAACAUGUAUGCAUACAAGAGCCACUAAACAUUGUAACCAAUAUCUUCUACCUUGACCCCAAGAAAAACAAAACUAUUUACACGGGAAAGCUCCCAACAAGCAAAAGAAGAAAGGAAAAUCUUUUUGGGUUUUCUCAAAAGGACACAAAACAAGAAAAAAAGAAAACGAGGACAAACUAGCAUGGAUAAUACAGUGGCAAAGUGUAAACACCGGCUAACAAAGUGAAAGCAUAAGCAUGAAUGUAAGGUCGGUGAGAACACGUACUCCCCCAAGCUUAGGCUUUUGGCCUAGCUUGGUCUACUCCAAAGGAGGGAAAUAACCAGCUCCAGGAUACUCUGGAGCGGACUGUAGAUGCCACUGUUGUGUGAGCUCCUCUAGCUCCCACUGAUAAACUAGUGUCUGGUACUCGACUGGCGGCUCGGGCACGGGCACCUGUGGUUGGGCUAAGCCCCAAUAUGCGUAGAUGUCCGAGGGCAUAAUAGUGUACCUGCCUGCAUGGAGAUCGAACAAAGAAGGAGCAGGCAAAGUAAUAGUCUCUCGAGUAGCCUGACUAAAUACCAGGUUAUAAAUCAUCUGUCUACUAGCAUCUCUAUCCAGAAAAUCAUGGCGAACCAUGUUGUCAUAAUCCAGAUAUUUCUCAGGAAGAAGCAUCUCCUCUUCCUCGCGAAGUCUAAUAGGUAUCUCAAAGUGUCUAGCAAGACGAGUAGCAUAGAUACCUCCAUAGACGACACCUUUGGAACGGUUUGUGUUCAACCGCUGAGCUACUAUAGCACCUAGGCUAUAAGUCUUAGUUCUAUAAAGGCCUUCGCGCAAAACCGCAAGGUCUAGAGAGCUAAUUGAUCCAGCCUCCCCACGGCCAAUCAAACAUUUUCCCACAAAUAAUGAGAAGUACCGAAGCACAGGAAAAUGUAUGCUAGCAAUUCUAGCACGAGACACUCCUCUCUCCUCUCCAACAGCAAUAGUGCCUAUGAAAUCCUCCAAGUCCCGUGGACGAGGAUCAUGAUUAUCCCCAACAUAAGGUCAUUUGCAUGCAUUGCAAAAAUCUUGUAGUGUCAUGCACUGGGGGAUAUCGUACAACAUGAACUCAACCAUGGGAGGAUUCUUCCUCGGAUAAAAGUUGAAGCUUUGAACGAAAAUAUUGGUGAGGAGGAGGUAUUGUGAGCACUUAUCUUCAACGAACGCGGUAAGACUUGCGUUCUCCACCAAGUAAUAAAAGUCUUCAUAAAGCCCGGCGGCGCGCAAAAAUUCAUCACUUGGCCACUCGCACGCUCGAACUUCUGUGACUCGAGGAACCACUUACUUGGGGUGGUUCUUCUCAUCCUCCUUGGGGUUACGGCUUGAAGAGCCUCUCAAGAACCUCCUCAUCUUUUUCCUUUUCUAGCUCUGAAAAAUUCUGAAAUUUUUAGAGACUUCGAAAGAAAAGUGAAUAAGGAUUAACCCAACUCGUAGCAACUACUCCUACUAGUUCCUAGAGACCGUAUCACGCGUUAAAACUACUUGGGACCAGCUAAAAUCAACAUUUCAAGCUCAAGAACAGGGUCACCAAGGUAGUAAGCAUACGCGAAGGAUAAAGCACUAGAGCAAAAACUAAUUGGACCAAUGGAGGAGUCACUUACCAAGGAGUAAUUUCCCCAAAAUGGUUCGGAGAAUGAUGCUUUGAGCAAGGAGAUCGAAAAUCACAGCCAAAUGAGCAAGAACACGGGUUUGAGCUGCGAAACGAUUUUUUCUGGAGAUAGAGGAAUAGGAUGGGAGCUGGAAUGAGUGGAGGAGGCCCCUCUGGGCCCCACAAGCUUGCUUGCUGCGACCAGGGGGGUAGGCCGCGGUGACACUGCUUGUGGCCCACUGGUGUGGACCCCAGGCCAGCUCUCAGUCCCAGUAUUUUUCAAAUAUUCCAGAAAAAAUGAUACUAGAUUUUCAGGACCAUCGGAGAACUUUUAUUUUCGGGGUAUUUUUUCUCCGAGACGCUAAAACAGGAAACAGGAAAAACUAAAAUAAACCUAUCAUUUUUCUUCUAAGCAACAGAAAGCGAAAGCUUAAAACAGUGGUAUGUGACUCUUUGAUUCAUCCAUUUCAUGGUCAUCAAGAGAAAUCCGUCAAUGGGGUUGAUCAAAUCCUCAUGACAAAACUUUCUUGAAUACCAAGAGAGAACUGAGAAUUUUCGAAUAUCCACUAAGUCACCUCAAUAGGGAUAUGUAUCUCCCCAACAAGCAAAUCAUACUUCAUCUUGACACGAGGAAUAGGGCAUUCAAAGCUCCCAAUAAGAAUCGAUGAAGCUUUUUCGAUAGCAUUGAUGCAAUGUACUUGAUAUCGUUUAUUCGGAAAGUGCACUGUGUGCUCAUUACCGUUGACAUGGAAAGUGACAUUGCCUUUGUUGCAAUCUAUAACAGCCCCUGCAGUGUUUAAAAAGGGUCUUCCGAGGNNNNNNNNNNUCAUGGCAUCGUCCUCGGGAAUAUCCCAGAUAACAAAGUCUGUUAAGAUAGUGGUAUUAGCAACCACAACAGGCACAUCCUCGCAAAUGCCGACAGGGAAAGCAGUUGAUUUGUCGGCCAUUUGCAGAGAGAUUUCAGUGGGUGUCAACUUAUCCAGUUCAAGUCUACGAUAAAGAGAGAGAGGCAUAACACUAACUCCGGCUCCAAGGUCACAUAAGGCAGUUCUUACGUAGUUUCCUUUAAUGGAGCAAGGUAUAGUGGGCACUCCGGUAUGACCAAGUUUCUUAGGAGUUCCACCUUUGAAAGUGUAAUUGGCAAGCAUGGUGGAGAUCUCAAGAUCUGGUAUCUUCUGUUUAUUGGUCACGAUAUCUUUCAUGUACUUGGCAUAUGGAGACAUUUUGAGCAUAUCAACUAACCGCAUCUGCAGAAAGACGGGUCUUAUCAUUUCAAUAAAGCGCUCAAAAAUCCUCAUCAUCCUUUUUCUCGAAUGGCUUAGGAGGAAAGGGCAUAGGUCUCUGAACCCAUGGCUCCCUUUCUUUACCAUGCUUCCAAGCAGUGAAGUCAUUCUUAUCGUAUCUCUUAGGUUGUGGGUUAUGAGGAUUAACCGUAGGUUCAAUCUCCACAUCCUUAUCAUUGCUAGGUUGAGCAUUUUUAUGAACAUCGCUGUCCAUAUUGUCACCACGUUCAUGUUCAUCACCAGAUUGUGUUUCUGCAUCAGACGCAGAAAUAUCAUUUGGUUCUUCAGGUGUGACAAUAUUUGGUAAACUAACACACAGGUUUCUAUCAUCCUUCUUCUUCUCCUUAGGAUAACUAGGUGUAUUAGCAUUAAUUCCUUGAGAAUCUUGAUCAAUUCUCUUAGGAUGACCCUCAGGAUACAAAGGUUCCUGAGUCAUUUUGCCUCCUCUAGUAAUGACUCUGACAGAGUUUUCAUUUAAUUUAUUGAGCAAGUCAUUCUGAGCUUUAAGUACUUGUUCUACCUGAGUAGUAAUCAUAGAGGCAUGUUUACUCAGAAGCUUCAGAUCAUUGACAUUUCUGUCCACACAAGCACUUAAAUGACUAAGCAUACGAGUACUUUGUUCCAAAUGUCUGCUAACAUAAUCAUUGAAACUCUGUUGUUUGGCAACAAAGUUGUCAAAUUCAUCAAAGCAUAGGCUAGGAGGUUUAUCAAAAGGAAUAUCACUCUCAUCAAACCUACGCAGAGAAUUUACUUCUACUACCUGUAUCGGGUUAUCGAGACCAUGGAUCUCUUCGAUGGGUGGUAGAUUUUUGACAUCUUCACAUCUAAUGCCUUUCUCUUGCAUAGAUUUCUUGAUUCUUGCAUAUCUUCGGGACUGAGGAAUAGAAUACCUCUUUUCUUCGGAGUAGGCUUAGGAGGUGGUUCUGGUAUAGUCCAAGCAUUAUUGUUGAUCAAGAUGUUAUUCGGUAGAGUCUCAGCUUGUUCUACUGUUCGUUCCCUAAAAACACAACCGUCACAACUAUCUUGGUGGUCUCUAGAAGCAUCGGUAAGUCCGUUAUAGAAUAUAUCAAGUAUCUCAUUCUUCUUAAGAGGGUGAUGAGGCAAAGCAUUCUGUAGCUGGAUGAGCCUCCCCCAAGCUUGUGGGAGACUCUCUUCUUUGAGUUGAGCAAAGUUGUAUAUUUCCUGCAAGGCAACUUGCUUCUUAUGGGCAGGGAAAUAUUUCUCACAGAAGUAAUAGACCAUAUCCUGGGGACUACUCACACAUCCAGGAGCAAGAGAAGUGAACCAGGCUUUAGCGUCAUCCUUUAGAGAGAAAGGAAACAACUUAAGGAUAUAGUAGUGGCGGAUCUUCUCCUCACUAGUGAAAAGGGUGGCUAUAUCGUCUAGUUUGGUAAGAUGGGCUACGACCGUCUCAGACUCAUAACCGUGGAAAGGAUCAAAUUCAACUAGAGAGAUUAUCUGAGGAUCAACAGAGAAUUCAUAAUCCUUAUCGGUGAUAAAGAUAGGUGAAGUGGCAAACUUUGGGUCGUAUUUCAUCCUAGCUUUCAGAGAUUUUCCCUUCCACUUGAGAAGUAAUUUCUCAGCGUCAUAGGCAUCCUUACACGCAAGAAAAUCCUCAGCUAUCUCCCCCUCCAUAACAUAACCCUCGGGUAUAUCAGGCAAUUCAUAUCUAGGAGAGCUAGAUCUAGCAGGAGCAAAAGCAGGUUCUAUCUCAAUAGUAUCGGCAGUUUCAGAAGCAUCACAAGCAUUGGCAGUAACUCUAGCAAUAUGAGCAUCAAGGAAUACCCCUAGUGGCACAUCAGGCAAAGUAGUGUCUCUAGCAGUAUCAAGCAUAGCAUCAUCAGGCAAAAUAACAUCUCUAGCAUCAUCAGGCAAAGCAGUAUCAGGCAUAGCAUCUCUAGCAGUAUCAGGCAUAGCAUCUCUAGCAGUAUCAGGCAUAGUAGCAUCAUAAGCAUCAUCAAGCACAGGCGACAUAUCAAGAUUUCUAGUAGGAGGUGAUGUCGCAAACUUACUCAUAAUUGAAGGUGAAUCAAGUGCAGAGCUAGANNNNNNNNNNCCCCUCGUAAUUGAGGGCAAGACUUUGGUUUUUGGAUCUUUCAGAUUCUUCAUAGUGAUCAGCAGAUAUAAAUCCCAAGUGACUCAGAGAAUAUAACAAUCUACUCCCCGGCAACAGCACCAGAAAAGAGCUGCUUGCUAGCAGUCCCCGGCAACUACACCAGAAGAAUGUUGUUGACGUGUUCCUGACUUGAUGCCUCCGCGGCAACAGAGCCAGAACUGCUCCCAGUUGCUCAACAAUUAGCAAUUGUCUUGCAAUGGCCCACCAGCGUGUGGGUUCGCGGCAGUUUUCGAGGGUAGAGUAUUCAACCCAAAUUUGUUGGUUCGCCCGUUAGGAAGUGAAAGGAUACUCUCAAGUAUUAGCAGUUGAAUGUGUCGGAUUCAACCACACCUGAAAGAUUAGUAUCUGCAAGCAGAGUAUCAGCAGCAAAGUAGUAUGAUAACAACGGUGCCAGAAACGGUCUGUUGACGGCAGACUAUUCCUAACUGUUGUAUCAAUGACGCCAGAAGUUGACCGUGGACGGAAAAUAUCCUUUCCGGUCAAUGGCACGAGAAAAAGUAUUGUAGCGGGUAGCAGCAGCGUUACGAGUAACAGCAGUGGCAAGGAACAGCAGUAGUGACAGCAGUAGUGAGAGCAGUAGCAAGUAGCAAUAGUAGCAAGUAACAGCAGUAGCAACAGUAGUAACAGCAGUAGCAAGUAGCAACAGUAGUAACAGCAGCAGUGGGACAAACUCAUAGGAAAUGGGUCGGUGAUUCGUUUGGAUGACAUUCAUCAUGCAACAGUUAUAACUCGGAGAGAUAUGUGACUAGCUCCCGUUCCUCAAUGUGAUGUAGGCAUGCAUUCCGUGUGUAGUCAUACGUGCUUAGGGAAAAUAACUUGCAUGACAUCUAUUGUCCAUCCCUCCCGUGGCAGUGGGGUCCAAAAGGAUACUACGGGAUAUUAAGGUUCUCCUUUUAAUAAAGAACCGGAACAACGCAUUAGCACUUGGUGAACACAUGAACUCCUCAAACUAUGGUCAUCAUCGGGAGUGGUUCCGGUUAUUGUCACUCCGGGGUUGUCGGGUCAUAACACAUAGUAGGUAACUACAACUUGCAAGAUCGGAUCUAAAACACACAUAUAUUGGUGACAACAUAAUAAUUUCAGAUCUGAAAUCAUGGCACUCGGGCCCUAGUGACAAGCAUUAAGCAUGGCAAAGUAGCAGCAACAUCAAUCUCAGAACAUAGUGGAUACUAGGGAUCAAUCCCCGUCAAAACUAACUCGAUUACAUGAUAGAUCUCAUCCAACUCAUCACCGCCCAGCGAGCCUACGAAUAGAUUACUCACGAACGAUGAAGAGCUUCAUGGAAUUUGAGAGGGAAGAAGGUUGAUGACGACGAUGGCGACGAUUUCCCCUCUCCGGAGCCCAAAACGGACUCCAGCUCUGCCCUCCAGAUGAAGAACAGGAUGUGGCGGCGCCUCCGUAUCGCAAACGCGAUGAAAUCUUCUCUCUUUAUUUUUUUUUGGACGAAAGUGAAUUUAUAGAGCUGGAGUUGGGGGCGGCAGGCCCACAUGGGCCCCACAAGCUUGGUUGCCGCGGCCAGGGGGGAGGCCACGGCAACACGGCUUGUGGCCCACUGGCCCAUCCCCUCCGGUGGAUCUUUGAGCAGGUAUUUUUCAUGUUUUCCAGAAAUAUUCUCCGUAAAUUUUCAGGACGUUCCGAGAACUUUCAUUUCUGCACAAAAACAACACCAUGGCAAUUCUCCUGAAAACAGCGUCAGUCCGGGUUAGUUGCAUUCAAAUCAUGCAAAUUAGAGUCCAAAACAAGGGCAAAAGAGUUUGGAAAAGUAGAUACGAUGGAGACAUAUCAACUAUCAUGACCACCACUCGUCCAUUUGAAUUGCUUCACAUGGAUCUAUUUGGACCUACUCAUUAUGCCACUCUAACAAAUGAUGCAUCUUUAUAUGGCUUUGUCAUAGUUGAGGAUUAUUCCAGAUACACUUGGGUGCAUAUCAUUCUGUAUAAAACUGAAGUGUAGGAAGUCCUCAAACGAUUUUCCUCAAGGGCCUCGACGAACUUCGGUGUCAAGAUCAAACACAUCAGGAGUGAUAAUGGAACAGAAUUCGAUAACACUGGUCUUGAUAAUUAUCUUGAUGAACUUGGUAUUACUCAUGAAUUGUCUGCUCCUUAUACUCCUCAACAGAAUGGCAUCAUCGAAAGAAAGAAUAGGACUCUGGUUGAGAUGGCACGAACCAUGCUUGAAGAAUAUCAGACUAACAAGAAACCUCGUAUGAACUCCUCACUGACAAGAAACCCAAUGUCAGUUAUUUCAAAGUCUUCGGUGCAAAAUGCUAGAUUAGAGAUCCUCACCAUAGCUCAAAGUCUGCACCUAAGGCACAUGAGGGUUUUAUGCUUGGUUACGGAAAGGACUCACACACCUAUAGAGUUUUCAAGACCUAUCACAACAAAGUUGUUGAAACUGUAGAUGUGCGGUUCGAUGAAACNNNNNNNNNNUGCAAAGAGAGCAAUUGCCUCCUGAUCCAGAUAAGCUGUCUCCUGAGGAAGCAAUAAAGCUCAAAGCUACUGAAGACAUUGUUCCUCUGAGGAAAUUGCUGAAGAAAUCAUUCCCAACACUGAUGAAAAUCAAGAAGAUGCUCCUGAGGAAAUUGCUCCAGACUCAAUUCCUCGGCCCAGACGAAAUCCUCAACCAGCUCAUCCAAGGAUUGCAAAUGAAAUAGAAGUUGACAAAAUCCUCAAUGACAUCAACGCGCCAAGUCCUCUCACUCGCUCAAAAGCUUCACACUUAGUUAACUUUUGUGGGCAUUCUUCUUUUGUGUCAAUCACAGAACCAUCAAAAGUUGUUGAGGCUUUCAUGGAACCGGAGUGGAUUCAAGCAAUGCAAUACGAACUUCUUCAAUUCAAGCUGAAUGACGUACGGGAGCUCGUCAAACGACCAGAUCCUCGCAAGCACAAUAUCAUCAGCAGCAAGUGGAUUUUCCGAAACAAGCAAGAUGAGGAUGGUCAAGUGGUGAGAAAUAAGGCACGACUUGCAGCCCAAGGCUACACACAGGUUGAAGGAAUUGAUUUUGAUGAAACUUUUGCACCUGUUGCUAGACUUGAAGCUAUUCAAAUACUACUUGCAUAUGCUAAUAAUCAUAACAUUAUCUUAUAUCAAAUGGAUGUGAAAAGUCCAUUCUCAAUGGUAAGCUUGAGGAAGAAGUAUAUGUUGCUCAGCCCCCAGGUUUUGAGGAUCCAAAGAAUCCAGACAAAGUCUUCAGACUCAAAAAGGCGCUCUAUGAUCUCAAGAAAGCCCCUCGGGCGUGGUACGAUACAUUGAAGGAAUUCCUCAUGAAGAAAGGCUUCAAACCUGGUUCACUCGAUCCAACUCUUUUCAGAAAAUCUUAUGAUAAUGAACUAUUUGUGUGCCACAUAUAUGUCGAUUACAUCAUAUUUGGCUGUACUGACAAACGUUAUAGUGAUGUAUUUGCUUACAUGAUGACUGAAGAAUAUCAGAUGUCUAUGAUGGGGGAGCUGAAAUUCUUCUUAGGNNNNNNNNNNCACAAUGGGGUCUUCAUAUCACAAGAGAAAUACCUCAAGGAUGUUCUGAGGAAAUUCGACUUGCAUGAAUGCAAAGGUGCCAAGACUCCCAUGCCUACCAACGGCCACCUCUGCACUGACGAAAAUGGUAAAGAAUUCGAUCAGCAGGUUGCCGCUAUAUGAUUGGCUCUUUACUGUAUUUGUGUGCAUCUAGGCCAGAUAUAAUGCUUAGUGUUUGCAUGUGUGCACGUUUUCAAGCAAAACCGAAGGAAUCACACCANNNNNNNNNNNNNNNNNNNNNNNNNNNNNNNNNNNNNNNNNNNNNNNNNNNNNNNNNNNNNNNNNNNNNNNNNNNNNNNNNNNNNNNNNNNNNNNNNNNNUCUUUAUUAAAAGGAGAACCUUAAUAUCCCGUAGUUUCCAUUAGGACCUCGCUGCCACGGGAGGGAUGGACAGUAGAUGUCAUGCAAGUUCUUUUCCCUAAGCACGUAUGACUACAUACGAAAUACAUGCCUACAUUAGAUUGACGAACUAGAGCUAGUUACAUAUCUCUCCAUGUUAUAACUGUUGCAUGUUGAAUAGCAUUCGUCAUAAUGAUCCAUCACCGAUCCAAUGCCUACGAGUCUUUUCCUACUGGUCCUUGCNNNNNNNNNNNNNNNNNNNNNNNNNNNNNNNNNNNNNNNNCAUGCCUACGAGUCUUUUCCUACUGGUCCUUGCUACGUUACUUUGGUCCUACUGCUGUCACUGCUGCUACUGUUACUCUGCUGCUACUGCUGUUACUUUGCUGCUACUGGUUACUGUUGCUACUGCUGCUAUCAUAUUACCUUGCUACUGAUACUUUGCUGCAGAUACUAAAUCUUUCAGGUGUCGUUGGAUUGAAAACUCAACUGCUAAUACUUGAGAAUAUUCUUUGGCUUCCCCUUGAGUCGAAUCAAUAAAUUUGGGUUGAAUACUCCACCCUCGAAAACUAUUGCGAUCCCCUACACUUGUGGGUUAUCAAUGAUGAGCCGCUUGGACCAGAUUCCUAACACGGUGCAGGCGUGGACAAAGUUCGUUGCAUGUUGCGGAGCCGACGUGACUUUCACUCGUGUGAGUCCAUUGCAAGGAGGCUAGGGAAGAUAAGCUGAAGGCGCUCCAGGUGGCUAAUACGAAGAAGCUCUGGUUUGAGGACUUCAUGGAGACCUUCAUCGACGAGGCCACUCGCAUUGCUGAUGGGAUCGAUCUUGACACCUUUGUUGAGCCUGCGAGUCCUGGUGAGCCUAGAAAAGGAACUUCGAUUACAGUCCAAACUUUUAUUCGCCUUGGUAUGUCGAGUGUUAAUGUAUUCGUUUAAACUUCGUUCGGGUGUUGAACCCGAGUACUUUUGUCCGCGUAGACAACUUUAAUUCGUGCUGGAUAUCUUUGAGNNNNNNNNNNNNNNNNNNNNNNNNNNNNNNNNNNNNNNNNNNNNNNNNNNNNNNNNNNNNNNNNNNNNNNNNNNNNNNNNNNNNNNNNNNNNNNNNNNNNGGAUUGUAAGUGCAUCUAGUGCCCCUUAGUGAUUUUGGUGGUUUGAAGACUUAUAGGUUAAGUAUCUAAUGUGUUUUUAAGUGUACACAGGAUCUAUAAGUCAUUGAUGAGUUUGAGAUAUUUGAAGAAUAUCGACCCCUAAAAAUAUAUGUCUUCAGUUGAAGAAAUUGAUCUGAAGCUGAAGAAAUGAAUCGCGAAGAAUCUGCGAUGAAAUUGAUAUUCCUCAUGAAGAUAUUGAUAUUGAGAAGAUCGGUGGUUCCUGAAGAAAAUCGUUCUGAAGAAAUUGAAGCGUGAAGAUUUUCGCUUUCUGUUUUACUUUCUUCGCAUUUGAUGAAUAGGAACACCGUACUGUUAAAGGGGGUCAAAGUAACACCAUGGAAUGGAUUUCCUCAUGAUGCUCAACCCAAGCCAAAUCCUACCAAAAGCCUCAAGNNNNNNNNNNNNNNNNNNNNNNNNNNNNNNNNNNNNNNNNNNNNNNNNNNNNNNNNNNNNNNNNNNNNNNNNNNNNNNNNNNNNNNNNNNNNNNNNNNNNNNNNNNNNNNNNNNNNNNNNNNNNNNNNNNNNNNNNNNNNNNNNNNNNNNNNNNNUUCGAUAAGCCACGCCAAGUCACUGAUCUUAUCCACUCCAACGGUCAUAUUAUUUAAGGGCAUUAAUGUCAAAUCAUGUCGGGAUGCUCCUAGUCUAUAAAUAGCCGCCCCCCACAACCACUAGCUGGUUGGCUGCUCCGAUAGAAACUGACACUUGUCAUAAGAGCAACCCAAUUCCUCAGAGCUUUCGAGAGUAAAUCAUAAGUGAGGAAAUACACCACCCACCGAAACCACAAACCAAACCUAGUGAUUGGGCAUCACUGAAGAAGUUGUUCCUGUGUGGGACUGAAGCCUUUUACAUUUGAGGACUGUGCAUCCUCCAGACGGUUAGGCGUCAUGGUCUAGAGCAAUCCAGCAGUCAAUUGUGGAUCGCCGGGUGACCGAGUUUGUGAGGGUUUGGAAGUCUGCCCUGAAGACUUACCACGAGUGUUGGGCGAGGACUGUGUGUCCUUAGCUCAAGGAGAAUACGGUAGGGACUGUGUGUCCCGGGACUGGGUGUCCUUUGGUUUAAAUACCAAGCCGCUCCAAACCAGAUGUACAACUGUCACAACAGUUGGAACUGGGUCAUCAAAAACAGUCUUCACCAAGAAUCGGGUUCUAAUUCCACAACUCUUUACAUUCUCUGUAUUAUGUGUUGAUGACUUCCACAGUGACUGUUUGAAGAAUUUGCUGAAGACUUUCUCUGAAUUUCCUCAACCCCAAAUUCUUCACUUGAGUUAAUCAUCAUCGGUAUUCUGCAUGCCUGCUUACUGUGCAAUCUGUUCUCACAUUCUUCACUCUACAAUACUGCUAUUGUGAAAGGGUUGCACGUCUGAUCCGUAAUCGUUUCCGCUGUAAGUUAGUCAUCAGUGAGGAAUNNNNNNNNNNGUAAUACUGCUAUUGUGAAAGGUUGCAUGUCUGAUCCGUAAUCGUUUCCGCUGUAAGUUAGUCAUCAGUGAGGAAUUUCCUCAAAAGGAAUUUCCUCAGUGAUGAAAUUCUAAAAACUCCUAUUCACCCCCUUCUAGUCGAUAUAACGCACUUUCAGGGGUCCUAAUGGAAACUGCAGGAUAUUAAGGUUCUCCAUUUAAUAAAGAACCGGACCAACACAUCAACACUUGGUGAAUAUAUGAACUCCUCAUACUAUGGUCAUCUCCCGGAGUGGUUCCGGCUAUUGUCACUCCGGGGUUGCCAGGUCAUAACACAUAGUAGGUGACUACAACUUGCAAGAUAGGAUGAAGAACACAUAUAUAUUGACGAGAACAUAAUAGGUUAAGAUCUGAAAUCAUGGCACUCGGGCCCUAGUGACAAGCAUUAAGCAUGGCAAAGUAGCAGCAACAUCAAUCUCAGAACAUAGUGGAUACUAGGGAUCAAUUCCCGUCAAAACUAACUCGAUUAUAUGAUAGAUCUCAACCACCCCAUCACCGUCCAGCAAGCCUACGAUAUGAUUACUCACGAACGGUGAAGAGCAUCAUGGAAUUGGCGAUGAAGGAAGGUUGGUGAUGACGAUGGCGAUGAUCUCCCCUCUCCGGAGCCCAAAACGGACUCCAGAUCUGCCCUCCAGAUGAAGAACAGGAGGUGACGGCGCCUCCGUAUCGGAAAACGCGAUGAACUCUUCUCCUUGAUUUUUUUCCGGACGAAAGGGACUAAAUAUACCUGAGAUUGGAGGCGGUGGAGUUCUAUGGGCCCCACAAGCCUGCCAGGCGCGGCCAGGGGGCCGCGCUUGGUGGGCUUGUGGGCUCAUAGCUCUACUUCCUCAGCUGAUUCUUGCGCCCGUAUUUUUCAUAAAUUCCACAAAAAUUCUGCGUAAAUUUUCAGGUCAUUCCGAGAACUUUUAUUUCUACGCAAAAACAACACCAUGGCAAUUCUGCUGAAAAUAGCGUUAGUCCGGGUUAGUUCCAUCAAAUCAUGCAAAUUAGAGUCCAAAACAAGGGCAAAAGAGUUUGGAANNNNNNNNNNNNNNNNNNNNNNNNNNNNNNNNNNNNNNNNNNNNNNNNNNNNNNNNNNNNNNNNNNNNNNNNNNNNNNNNNNNNNNNNNNNNNNNNNNNNGUGAAAAGUGCAUUCCUCAAUGGUAAGCUUGAGGAAGAAGUAUAUGUUGCUCAGCCCCCAGGCUUUGAGGAUCCAAAGAAUCCAGACAAAGUCUUCAGACUCAAAAAGGCUCUGUAUGGUCUCAAGCAAGCCCCUCGGGCAUGGUAUGAUACAUUGAAGGAAUUCCUCAUGAAGAAAGGCUUCAAACCUGGUUCANNNNNNNNNNGCUGUUUGUAUGUCAAAUAUAUGUUGAUGAUAUCAUAUUUGGCUGUACUGACAAAAGAUACAGUGAUGAAUUUGCUUAUAUGAUGAGUGAAGAAUAUCAGAUGUCUAUGAUGGGGGAGCUGAAAUUCUUCUUAGGUCUUCAAAUUCGUCAACAAAGAAAUGAAUAUUCAUAUCACAGGAGAAAUACCUCAAGGAUGUUCUGAGGAAAUUCGACAUGCAUGAAUGCAAAGGUGNNNNNNNNNNUAAAUCCUAUGAUAAUGAACUAUUUGUGGGCCAGAUAUAUGUCGAUGACAUCAUAUUUGGCUGUAUUGACAAACGUUACAGUGAUCAAUUUGCUUACAUGAUGAGUGAAGAAUAUCAGAUGCCUAUGAUGGGGGACCUGAAAUUCUUCCUAGGUCUUCAAAUUCGUCAAAAACGCAAUGGAAUCUUCAUAUCACAGGAGAAAGACCUCAAGGAUGUUCUGAGGAAAUUCGACAUGCAUGAAUGCAAAGGUGCCAAGACUCCAAUGCCUACCAACGGCCACCUCUGCACUGACGAAAAUGGUAAAGAAUUCGAUCAGCAGGUAUAUCGCUCCAUGAUUGGCUCUUUACUGUAUUUAUGUGCAUCUAGGCCAAAUAUAAUGCUUAAUGUUUGCAUGUGUGCACGUUUUCAAGCAAAACCGAAGGAAUCACACCAUAAGGCUGUGAAGCAUAUUCUUUGAUACUUAGCUCACACACCAACACUAGGAUUAUGGUACCCCAAGGGCUCAAAUCUUCAUCUUGUGGGAAAUUCUGAUUCUGACUAUGCUGGUGACCGUGUGGAUCGCAAGUCAACUUCUGGCACAUGUCAUUUCCUCGGAAGAUCACUAGUCUGCUGGUCCUCAAAGAAGCAGAACUGUGUUUCUCUCUCCACUGCCGAAGCUGAGUACAUUGCUGCUCGUUCAUCAUGUGCUCAAUUGCUAUGGAUGAAGCAAACCCUCAAGGACUACGGCAUCAACAUGAAGAAUNNNNNNNNNNNNNNNNNNNNNNNNNNNNNNNNNNNNNNNNNNNNNNNNNNNNNNNNNNNNNNNNNNNNNNNNNNNNNNNNNNNNNNNNNNNNNNNNNNNNUGUUGCUACUGCUGCUAUCAUAUUACCUUGCUACUGAUACUUUGCUGCAGAUACUAAAUCUUUCAGGUGUGGUUGAAUUGAAAACUCAUCUGCUAAUAUUUGAGAAUAUUCUUUGGCUUCCCCUUGAGUCGAAUCAAUAAAUUUGGGUUGAAUACUCCACCCUCGAAAACUAUUGCGAUCCCCUACACUUGUGGGUUAUCAAGACCUUUUUCUCGCGCCGUUGCCGGGGAAGCACAACUAUAUUCUCUGAUUCACUUGGGAUUUACGUCUUCUGGUCACUAUGAAGAAUCUGAGAGAUCCAAAAACCAAAGUCUUGCCGUCAACUACGAGGACAGGUAAGGAACUGCCAUCUAGCUCUGCACUUGAUUCACCUUCAAUUAUGAGUAAGUUUGCGACACCACCUCCUGCUAGAAAUCUUGAUAUGUCGCGUGUGCUUGAUGAUGCUACUUCUGCUGCCCAUGAUGCUUAUGAUGAUGCUAUGCUUGAUACUGCUUUGCUUGAUGAUGCUAUGCUUGAUACUGCUUUGCCACUAGGUGCAUUCCUUGAUGCACAAAUUGCUAGAGUUGCUGCUAGAUGUGAUGAUACUUCUGAAACUAAUGAUACUAUUGAAGUAGAACGUGCUACUUUGCCUGCUAGAACUAGAUCUCCUAGACAUGAAUUGCCUGAUAUGCCUGAGUGUUAUAUUAUGGAGGGAGAGAUAGCUGAGGAUUUUCUUGCUUGUAAGGAUAGUUAUGAUGUUGAGAAAUUACUGCUCAAGUGGAAAGGAAAAUCUUUGGACGCUAGGAUGAAAUACAACCCGAAGUUUGCUACUUCGCCUAUCAUUGUGACCGAUAAGGAUUAUGAAUUAUCUGUCGACCCUGAGUUAAUCACACUGGUCGAAUCUGAUCCAUUUCACGGUUAUGAGUCUGAAACGGUUGUAGCCCAUCUUACCAAACUGCAUGAUAUAGCCACCCUAUUCACUAGUGAGGAAAAGAUCCGCCACUACUAUAUCCUCAAGUUGUUUCCUUUCUCGGUAAAGGAUGAUUCUAAGACCUGGUUCACUUCUCUUGCUCCUGGUUGUGUGCGUAGCCCCCAGGAUAUGGUCUACUACUUCUCUGAAAAAUAUUUCCAUGCCCAUAAGAAGCAAGCUGCCUUGCAGGAAAUAUACAACUUUCUUCAAGCUGGAGAAGAGAGUCUCCCACAAGCUUGGUAAAGAAGCUUUGCCUGAUCACCCAAUUGAGAAGAAUGAAACACUUGAUAUAUUCUAUAAUGGACGUACUGAUGCUUCUAGAGACCACCUAGAUAGUUGUGCUCGUUGUGUUUUUAGGGAACGAAUCGUAGAAUAAGUUGAGAUCCUAUUGAAUAAUAUCAUGUGCAAUGAGAAUGCUUGGACUAUUCCCGAACCACCUCCUAAGCCAACUCCAAAGAAAAGAGGUAUUCUAUUCCUCAGUCUUGAAGAUAUGCAAGAAGCUAAGAAAUCUAUGAAAGAGAAAGGCAUUAAAUCUGAAGAUGUCAAAAAUCUACCACCUAUCGAAGAGAUCCAUGGUCUUUAUAACCCGAUACAUGUAGUAGAAGUAAAUUCUGUUCGUAGAUUCAAUGAGAGUGAUAUUCCUUUUGAUAAACCUGCUAGCUUAUGCCUGGAUGAAUUUGAUAACUUUGUUGCCAAACAACAAAGUUUCAAUGAUUAUGUUAGCAGACAAUUGGAACAGAAUGCUCGUAUGCUUAGUCAUUUAAGUGCUUGUGUGCACAGAAACGUCAAUGACCUUAAGCUGUUGAGUAAACAUGCCUCUAUGGUUACUACUCAGGUAGAACAAGUACUUAAGGCUCAGAAUGACUUGCUCAAUGAGUUGAAUGACAAUUAUGUUAGAGUCAUCACUAGAGGCGGUAGAAUGACCCAGGAACCUUUGUAUCCUGAGGGUCAUCCUAAGGGAAUUGAACAAGACUCUCAAGGAGUUAGCACUGAUGCACCUAGUCAUCCUAGAAAGAAGAAGAAAGAUGAUGGGAACCAGCACGCUAGCAACCCAGAUGCUGAUACACCUGAGAGUCCAAACGAUGUCUCUGUUUCUGAUGCCGAGACACAAUCUGGUGAUGAACAUGAGCGUAAUGAUAAUAUCAAUAGUGAUGUUCAUGUUGAUGCUCAACCUAGCAACGGUAAGGAUGUGGAGAUUGAACCUGUUGAUCUUGAUAACCCACAGCCUAAGAAUAGAAGAUAUGAUAAGAAUGACUUCGCAGCUAGGAAGCAUGGUAAAGAAAGGGAACCAUGGGUUCAGAAACCCAUGCUCUUUCCCCCCAAACCAUCUAAGAAAAAGGAUGAUGAGGAUUUUGAGCGAUUUGUCGAAAUUAUUAGACCUGUCUUUCUGCAAAUGCGUUUGACAGAUAUGCUCAAAAUGUCUCCAUAUGCUAAGUACAUGAAGGAUAUUGUGACUAAUAAGAGGAGGAUACAUGAGGUUGAGAUUUCCACCAUGCUCGCUAAUUAUACCUUCAAGGGUGGAACGCCAAAGAAACUAGGUGAUCCCGGAGUGCCCACUAUACCUUGCUCCAUUGAAGGCAACUACAUUAGAACUGCUUUAUGCGACCUUGGAGCCGGUGUUAGUGUUAUGCCUCUCUCUCUUUAUCGUAGGCUUGAACUGGAUAAGUUGACACCAACUGAAAUCUCUCUACAAAUGGCCGACAAAUCAACUACUUCCCUAUCGGCAUUUGCGAGGAUGUGCCUGUUGUGGUUGCUAACGUUACUAUCUUAACAGACUUUGUUAUUCUGGAUAUUUCUAAGGAUGAUGCCAUGGAGGUCAUCCUUGGAAGACCCUUUUUAAACACUGCAGGGGAUGUUAUUGAUUGCAACAAAGGCAAUGUCACUUUCCAUGUCAACGUUAAUGAGCAUACGGUGCAAUUUCCGAAGAAACAAUAUCGAGUACAUUGCAUCAAUGUUAUCGAAAAAACAUCAUCAAUUCUUAUUGGGAGCUUUGAAUGCCCUAUACCUCCUGUUAAGAUGAAGUAUGAUUUGCUUGCUGGGGAGAUACACAUCCCCAUUGAGGUAACCUAGUGGCUAUUCGAAAAUUCUCUGUUCUCUUUUGCGAUUCGAAAAGGUUUGUCAAGGAGACUUGAUCAACCUCAUUGACGGAUUUCUUUCUAUGACCAUGAGAUGGAUGAAUCGAGGAGUCACAAACCUCUAUUCCAAGCUUUCANNNNNNNNNNNNNNNNNNNNNNNNNNNNNNNNNNNNNNNNNNNNNNNNNNNNNNNNNNNNNNNNNNNNNNNNNNNNNNNNNNNNNNNNNNNNNNNNNNNNAGAUAGGACCUAAAACACACAUAUAUUGGCGACAACAAAAUAGGUUCAGAUCUGAAAUCUUGGCACUCGGGCCCUAGUGACAAGCAUUAAGCAUGGCAAAGUAGUAGCAACAUCAAUCUCAGAACAUAGUGGAUACUAGGGAUCAAUCCCCGUCAAAACUAACUCGAUUACAUAAUAGAUCUCAUGCAACUCAUCACCGUCCAGCAAGCCUACGAUGAUAUUACUCACGAACGAUGAAGAGCAUCAUGGAAUUGUCGAUGGAGGAAGGUUGAUGGUGACGAUGGCGACGAUUUCCCCUCUCCGGAGCCCAAAACGGACUCCAGAUCUGCCCUCCGGAUGAAGAACGAGAGGUGGCGACGCAUCCGUAUCGUAAAACGCGAUGAAUCCUUCUCUCUGAUUUUUUUGCCGAGCGAUACGAAAGAUAUAGAGCUGAGUUUGGGGGCGGUGGUGCCACGUGGGCCCCACAAGCCCUCACAACGCGGCCUAGGGGGGUGGUCGCGGCCCAUGGGCUUGUGGCCCACUCGCACACCCCCUCCGGUGGAUCUUUGCGCACGUAUUUUUCAUUUAUUCUAGAAAAAUUCUCCGUAAAUUUUCAGGACAUUCCGAGAACUUUUAUUUCUGCACAAAAACAACACCAUGGCAAUUCUGCUGAAAACAACGUUAGUCCGGGUUAGUUCCAUUCAAAUCAUGCAAAUUAGAGUCCAAAACAAGGGCAAAAGAGUUCGGAAAAGUACAUACGACAGAGACGUAUCAACUCCGCCAAGCUUAAAGCCUUGCUUGUGCUCAAGCAAUUCAUUUGAAAACUGAAAGAGACAAAAGAAAAACUUUGACGAACUCUGUUUGAUCUUGUUGUUGCAACUAUGUCUAACUCAUAACCAGAAUUUCAGCAAGAUCACCAGCAAACCACAUAAGCAAAUGACAUCUAGGUCUCACGAUAAACUCAUAUCAAUGGCAUAAUCAACUAGCGAGCAAAUAAUAAUAAGCCUCAAGUGUCAAUACUUCAAUCAAAACAACAUGAAGCAGUACGAAUAGAUGGUAUCUCUCUAGCUCUUUCUGAGACAGCAAAACAUAAAUGCAGAGCACCUUCAAAGACCAAGGGCUGACUAAACAUUGUAAUUCAUGGCAAUGAAGAUCCAGUCACAGUCAUACUCAACACAGUUAAAAGCAAAGCAUAAAAAUGACAGAGUUGCUCUCUAAUUAGUGCUUUUGUAAGAGGAGGAUGACUCAACAUGAACAUAAACAGACAGGCCCUUCGCAGAGGGAAGCAUUGAUUUGCAGAGGUGCCAGAGCUCAAGCUUUGAAAACAGAGAUAAUAAUUUUGGGUGGCAUGCUUUCAUUGUCAACGCAAUGACUAAGAGUUCUCAACAUCUUCCACGCUACACAUGCUAUAGGCGGUUCCCAAACAGAAAAGUAAAGUUUUGACUCCCCCACCACCAAUCAAUCACACUCCACGGCUAGCCGAAUCCUCGGGUACCGUCCAUACCAACAUCAAUCCUGGGGGAGUUUUGUUUGCAAUUAUCUUUUCAAUUUGAGUAUGGAACUGGGAAUUCCAAUUACCGGCCCCUUUCUCGUGAAUGAUAGUGAAUAAACACAUAUCGAGGAUAACACGCCUAGCAUGGAAGAUACCAAUAGCCCCAUGUCACCANNNNNNNNNNNNNNNNNNNNNNNNNNNNNNNNNNNNNNNNNNNNNNNNNNNNNNNNNNNNNNNNNNNNNNNNNNNNNNNNNNNNNNNNNNNNNNNNNNNNNNNNNNNNNNNNNNNNNNNNNNNNNNNNNNNNNNNNNNNNNNNNNNNNNNNNNNNNNNNNNNNAACGGCAGGUAGAUACCGCACAUAGGUAGGUAUGGUGGACUCAUAUGGCACAACUUUGGGUUUAUGGAAGUGGAUGCACAAGCAGUAUUCCCUCUUAGUAAAAGUGAAGGCUAACAAAAGACUAGGAAGCGAACAACAGUCAUCAANNNNNNNNNNNNNNNNNNNNNNNNNNNNNNNNNNNNNNNNNNNNNNNNNNNNNNNNNNNNNNNNNNNNNNNNNNNNNNNNNNNNNNNNNNNNNNNNNNNNAAGCAUUAAGCAUGGCAAAGUAGCAGCAACAUCAAUCUCAGAACAUAGUGGAUACUAGGGAUCAAUCCCCGUCAAAACUAACUCGAUUACAUGAUAGAUCUCAUCCAACCCAUCACCGUCCAGCAAGCCUACGAUGAGAUUACUCACGAACGGUGAAGAGCAUCAUGGAAUUGGCGAUGAAGGAAGGUUGGUGAUGACGAUGGCGACGAUCUCCCCUCUCCGGAGCCCAGAAUGGACUCCAGAUCUGCUCUCGAGAGGAAGAAUAGGAGGUGGCGGCGCCUCCGUAUCGGAAAACGCGAUGAACUCUUCUCCUUGAUUUUUNNNNNNNNNNNNNNNNNNNNNNNNNNNNNNNNNNNNNNNNNNNNNNNNNNNNNNNNNNNNNNNNNNNNNNNNNNNNNNNNNNNNNNNNNNNNNNNNNNNNNNNNNNNNNNNNNNNNNNNNNNNNNNNNNNNNNNNNNNNNNNNNNNNNNNNGUGGGCCCCACAAGCCUGCCAGGCGGGCGAGGGUGGGCCCGCGCCUGGUGGGCUUGUGGGCUCCAGCUCCACUUCCUCCGUUGAUUCUUGCGCCAGUAUUUUUUAUAUAUUCCACAAAAAUUCUUGGUAAAUUCUCAGGUCAUUCCGAGAACUUUUAUUUCUGCGCAAAAACAACACCAUUGCAAUUCUGCUGAAAACAACGUUAGUCCGGGUUAGUUCCAUUCAAACCAUGCAAAUUAGAGUCCAAAACAAGGGAAAAAGAGUUUGGAAAAGUACAUACGAUGGAGACGUAUCAACUCCCCCAAGCUUAAAACCUUGCUUGUCCUCAAGCAAUUCAGUUGACAAACUGAAAGAGACAAAAGAAAAACUUCUACANNNNNNNNNNNNNNNNNNNNNNNNNNNNNNNNNNNNNNNNNNNNNNNNNNNNNNNNNNNNNNNNNNNNNNNNNNNNNNNNNNNNNNNNNNNNNNNNNNNNACCAAAGAAGACAAGAUAGCAACGUGAAACCAUCAAAAAUUAUAGAUACGUUUGAGAUGUAUCACCCGUUAUUGCGCUCUUAAGAAUACUAAGGUCGGGUGCGCAGAGGUGACAAUGCUCAAUCUUGCCAUUAAUGCAUCUGCCUAUGAAGAGGGCAAAUUAAUGCAAGGCAGGAAAAUGAAUGCUCCCCAUGGUAGCUUGCGUAAUAUCUCUAGUUUCUCCAAAAGUUAUACCAGAGAAAAAAUCUCUAACCGAAGAUUUAGGAGGAUCAUUGAGACUACCCCAAAUAGGUAUCUUGCAAAUUCUAUUGAAAUCCUCUAUAUCCAUGGUAUACGAUUUGUCAUAGAGAUCAAACAGUACAGAUGUAUCACGGCCAACUGAAAAUUUGAAUCUACGAACAGAAGAGGCAGUGAGAGCAACAUACUGUUCACAUUUAUCGAGAUGAAUUCUUCGAGUCCGACGUUGUCAACAAGUGUAUCAAACUCGUCUUUGAAACCUGCCUCUAUCAUGAAUUCAUCAGAAGUCCAUUCACAUGGUUGUACGUGUGCGUUCCUUGGUUGGUAAGGAUCGGGCUCCCGAAUCGCGAGACGGGGACCUCUCUUGCUUGAGGAACCACCAUGAUAGUUUCUCCUGAACAUCUUCCUUUUCUGAAAUUUUCAGUGACUCUAAGGAAAAGUGAACAAGGCCCAACGAAACUCGUAGCAACUACUCUCACAAGUGCCUAGAGGCCAUAUUACGCAUCCAAACUAAUUGGGACCAGCUAAAAUUAGCAUGCAAGGCUCAAGAACAUGGUCACCAAGGCAGCAAAAAUACGCGAAUUAAAGGCACUAGAGCAAAAACUAAUUGGACAAUGGAGGAGUCACAUACCAAGGAGCAAUUUCCCCAAAACAAUUUGGUGAAUGGUGCUUUGCACAAGGAGAUCGAAAAUACCAGCAAGAAGAGCAAGAACACGGGUUUGAGCUGCGAAACAAUUUUUUUUCUGGAGGCAGGAGAAGUAGAUGGGAGCUAGAAUGAGUGAAGGGGGUGCACCUGUGCCCCACAACCCUGGUAGGUGUGGCAAGGGGGGUGCCCGUGCCUCCAGGGCAUGUGGCCCACUCGUGCAGCCCCAAGACUAGCUCUUCGUCUCGGUAUUUUUCAAAAAUUCCAGAAAAAAAUCAUACUUGAUUUUCACGGCAUUCGGAGAACUUUUAUUUUCGGGGUACUUUUCUACGGGACGCUAAAACAGAAAAUAGGGAAAACUAAACUAAACCUAUCAUUUUUCUUCUAAGCAACCUAAAGUGAAAGCUUGGAAUGGAGGUUUGUGACUCCUCGAUUCAUCCAUCUCAUUGUCAUCGAAAUAAAAUCCGUCAAUGAGGUUGAUCAAGUCUCCUUGACAAACCUUUUCGAAUCGCAAAAUAAGACAGAGAAUUUUUGAAUAGUCACCAGGUAACCUCAAUGGGGAUGUGUAUCUCCCCAACAAGCAAAUCAUACUUCAUCUUGACACGAAGAAUAGGGCAUUCAAAGCUCCUAGUAAGAAUCGAUGAAGUUUUUUUCGAUAGCAUUGAUGCAAUGUACUCGAUAUUGUUUCUUCGAAAAGUGCACCGUAUGCUCAUUACCGUUGACAUGGAAAGUGACAUUGCCNNNNNNNNNNNNNNNNNNNNNNNNNNNNNNNNNNNNNNNNNNNNNNNNNNNNNNNNNNNNNNNNNNNNNNNNNNNNNNNNNNNNNNNNNNNNNNNNNNNNUUGGUAAGAUGGGCUACAACCGUUUCAGACUNNNNNNNNNNCACCAAGUCUCAGCAUCAUCUUCUAGCGAGAAAGGAAACAACUUAAGGAUAUAGUAGUGGUAGAUCUUUUCCUCUCUCGUGAAUAGGAUGGCUAUAUCGUGCAGUUUGGUAAGAUGGGCUACAACCGUUUCAGACUCAUAACCGUGAAAAGGAUCAGAUUCGACCAGAGUGAUUAACUCAGGGUCGACAGAGAAUUCAUAAUCCUUAUCGGUCACAAAUAUAGGCGAAGUAGCAAACUUCGGGUCGUAUUUCAUCCUAGCGUUCAAAGAUUUUUCUUUCCACUUGAGCAGUAAUUUCUCAACAUCAUAGCUAUCCUUACAAGAAAGAAAGUCCUCAGCUAUCUCUCCCUCCAUAACAUAACCCUCAAGCAUAUCAGGCAAUUCAUAUCUAGGAGAGCUAGUUCUAACAGGCAAAAUAUCAGGUUCUACUUCAAUAGUAUCAGCAGUUUCAGAAGUAUCAUCACGUCUAGCAGAAACUCUAGCAAUUUGUGCAUCAAGGGANNNNNNNNNNNNNNNNNNNNNNNNNNNNNNNNNNNNNNNNNNNNNNNNNNNNNNNNNNNNNNNNNNNNNNNNNNNNNNNNNNNNNNNNNNNNNNNNNNNNAUAGCANNNNNNNNNNAGAGUUUUCAAUUCAACCACAGCUGAAAGAUUUAGUAUCUGCAGCAAAGUAUCAGUAGCAAAGUAGUAUGAUAGCAGCAGUAGCAAUAGUUACCAGUAGCAGCAGAGUGAUAUCAGUAGCAGCAAAGUAACAACAGUAGCUGCAGUGACAGCAGUAGCGGCAAAGUAACGUAGCAAGGUCCAGUAGGAAAAAUUCGUCGGCAUUGGAUNNNNNNNNNNCGGCAGACUAUUCCUAACUUUUGUAUCAAUGGUGCCGGUAGGUUGCACGUGGAUGGGGAACUAUUCUUCCCCGGCAACAAGUAACAGCGAAGUAGCAAGGAACAGCAGUAGCAGCAGCAGCAGAGUAACACCAGUAGCAACAGUAGUAGCAAAGUGGCCCAAUCCCUUUUGUAGCAAGGGACAAGCCUAGACAAAGUAACGUNNNNNNNNNNCGGUGAUGGAUGAUUAUGCCGGAUGCUAUUCAUCAUGCAACAGUUAGAACACAGAGAGAUAUGUAACUAGCUCCAGUUCGUCAAUGUAACGUAGGCAUGUAGUUGAUACGUCUCCGUCGUAUCUACUUUUCCUAACUCUUUUGCCCUUGGUUUUGGACUCUAAUUUGCAUGAUUUGAAUGGAACUAACCCGGACUNNNNNNNNNNUGCAUGACAUAUAUUGUCCAUCCCUCCCAUGGCAGCGGGGUCCUAAUGGAAACUACGGGAUAUUAAGGUUCUCCUUUNNNNNNNNNNGACGCUAUUUUCAACACAACUACCUUGGUGCUAUUUUUGUGUAGAAAUAAAAGUUCUCGGAAUUGUACAAAACUUUUCGUGAAUUAUUUCUAGAAUAAAUAAGUAACUUUGGAGCGAACANNNNNNNNNNNNNNNNNNNNNNNNNNNNNNNNNNNNNNNNNNNNNNNNNNNNNNNNNNNNNNNNNNNNNNNNNNNNNNNNNNNNNNNNNNNNNNNNNNNNAAGCGACAUAACACUAACACCGGCUCCAAGGUCGCAUAAAGCAGUUCUAACGUAGUUUCCUUUAAUGGAGCAAGGUAUAGUGGGCACACCGGGAUCACCUAGUUUCUUAGGAGUUCCACCCUUGAAGGUAUAAUUAGCGAGCAAGGUGGAAAUCUCAACCUCGGGUAUCCUCCUCCUAUUAGUCACAAUAUCUUUCAUGUACUUAGCAUACAGAGACAUUUUGAGCAUUCUGUCAAACGCAUUUGCAGAAAGACAUGUCUAAUCAUUUCAACUAAUCGCUCAAAAUCCUCAUCAUUCUUUUUCUUGGAUGGUUUGGGAGGAAGGGGCAUGGGUUUCUGAACCCAUGGUUCCCUUUCUUUACCAUGCUUCCUAGCAGUGAAGUCAUUCUUAUUGUAUCUCCUAGCCUUAGGCUGUGGGUUAUCAAGAUCAACAGGUUCAAUCUCCACAUCCUUAUCAUUGCUAGGUUGAGCAUCAACAUGAAAUUCACUAUUGAUAUUAUCAUUAGGCUCAUGUUCAUCACCAUAUUGUGUUUCAGCAUCAGAAACGGAGGCAUCGUUUGGAAUCUCACGGGUAGCAGCAUCUGGGUUGCUAGCGUGCAAGUUCCUAUCAUCUUUCUUCUUCUUUCUAGGAUGACUAGGUGCAUCAGUGCUAACUCCUUGAGAAUCCUGUUCAAUUCUUUUAGGAUGACCCUUAGGAAACAAAGGUUCCUAAGUCAUUCUACCGCCUCUAGUGACGACUCUGAUAGAAUUGUCAUUCAACUCGUUGAGCAAGUCAUUCUGAGCCUUAAGUACUUGUUCUACCUGGGUAGUAACCAUAGAGGCAUGCUUACUCAGAAGCUUAAGAUCAUUGACAUUUCUGUCUACACAAGCACUUAAAUGACUAAGCAUAUGAGCAUUCUGUUCCAAUUGUGUGCUAACAUAAUCAUUGAAACUCUGUUGUUUGGCAACAAAGUUAUCAAAUUCAUCCAGGCAUAGGCUAGCAGGUUUAUCAAAAGGAAUAUCACUCUCAUCAAACCUACACAGAGAAUUUACUUCUACUACCUGUAUCGGGUUAUCAAGACCAUGGAUCUCUUUGAUAGGUGGUAGAUUUUUGACAUCUUCAGAUUUAAUGCCUUUCUCUCGCAUAGAUUUCUUAGCUUCUUGCAUAUCUUCAGGAUUGAGGAAUAGAAUACCUCUUUUCUUUGGCGUUGGCUUAGGAGGUGGUUCGGGAAUAGUCCAAGCAUUCUCAUUGCACAAGAUGUUAUUCAAUAGGAUCUCAGCUUGUUCUACAGUUCGUUCCCUAAAAACACAACCAGCACAACUAUCUAGGUGGUCUCUAGAUGCAUUGGUAAGUCCAUUAUAGAAGAUAUCAAGUAUUUCAUUCUUCUCAAGAGGGUGAUCAGGCAAAGCAUUGAGUAGUUGGACGAGCCUCCCCUAAGCUUGUGGGAGACUCUCUUCUUCAACUUGUGCAAAGUUGUAUAUUUCCUGCAAGGCAGCUUGCUUCUUAUGGGCAGGGANNNNNNNNNNUUGGAAGCAUCGGUAAGUCCAUUAUAGAAGAUAUCAAGUAAUUCAUUCUUCUCAAGAGGGUGAUCACCCAAAGCAUUCAGCAGUUGGAUGAGCCUUCCCCAAGCUUGUGGGAGACUCUCUUCUUCAGCUUGAGCAAAGUUGUAUAUUUCCUGCAAGGCAGCUUGCUUCUUAUGGGCAGGAAANNNNNNNNNNNNNNNNNNNNNNNNNNNNNNNNNNNNNNNNNNNNNNNNNNNNNNNNNNNNNNNNNNNNNNNNNNNNNNNNNNNNNNNNNNNNNNNNNNNNAUAGCAACGGUGUCAGAAACAUAUCUGUUGACGGCAGACUAUUCCUAACUUUUGUAUCAAUGGUGCCGGUAGGUUGCACGUGGAUGGGGAACUAUUCUUCCCCGGCAACAAGUAACAGCGAAGUAGCAAGGAACAGCAGUAGCAGCAGCAGCAGAGUAACACCAGUAGCAACAGUAGUAGCAAAGUGGCCCAAUCCCUUUUGUAGCAAGGGACAAGCCUAGACAAAGUAACGUAGGAAGGACCAGUAGUAAAAGACUCGUAGGCAGUGGAUCGGUGAUGGAUGAGUAUGACGGAUGUGAUUCAUCAUGUAACAGCUAUAACACGGAGACAUGAGUAACUAGCUCCCGUUCGUCAAUCUAAUGUAGGCAUGUAUUCCGUAUGUAGUCAUACGUGCUUAGGGAAAGGAACAUGCAUGACAUAUAUUGUCCAUCCCUCCCAUGGCAGCGGGGUCCUAAUGGAAACUACGGGAUAUUAAGGUUCUCCUUUUAAUAAAGAACCGGACCAACGCAUUAACACUUGGUGAAUACAUGAACUCCUCAUACUAUGGUCAUCUCCGGGAGUGGUUCCGGCUAUUGUCACUCCGGGGUUGCCGGGUCAUAACACANNNNNNNNNNNNNNNNNNNNNNNNNNNNNNNNNNNNNNNNNNNNNNNNNNNNNNNNNNNNNNNNNNNNNNNNNNNNNNNNNNNNNNNNNNNNNNNNNNNNGCCGCUACUGCUGUCACUGCAGCUACUGUUGUUACUUUGCUGCUACUGAUAUCACUCUGCUGCUACUGGUAACUAUUGCUACUGCUGCUAUCAUACUACUUUGCUACUGAUACUUUGCUGCAGAUACUAAAUCUUUCAGCUGUGGUUGAAUUGAAAACUCUACUGCUAAUACUUGAGAAUAUUCUUUGGCUUCCCCUUGAGUCGAAUCAAUAAAUUUGGGUUGAAUACUCUACCCUCGAAAACUGUUGCGAUCCCCUAUACUUGGGGGUUAUUAAGACUAUUUUCUGGCACCGUUGCCGAGGAAGCACAGCAAUAUUCUCUGAGACACUUGGGAUUUAUGUCUGUUGAUCACUAUGAGGAAUCCGAUAGAUCAAAGAACUAAAGUCUUGCCCUCAACUACGGGGACAGGUAAGGAACUGCCAUCUAGCUCUGCACUUGAUUCACCUUCAGUUAUGAGUAAGUUUGCGACACCAUCUCCUGUUAGAAAUCUUGAUAUGUCGCCUGUGCUUGAUGAUGCUACUUCUGCUGCCCAUGAUGCUUAUCAUGAUGCUAUGCUUGAUACUGCUUUGCCACUAGGUGCAUUCCUUGAUGCACAAAUCGCUAGAGUUGCUGCUAGAUGUGAUGAUACUUCUGAAACUGUUGAUACUAUUGAAGUAGAACCUGCUAUUUUGCCUGUUAGAACUAGCUCUCCUAGAUAUGAAUUGCCUGAUAUGCUUGAGGGUUAUGUUAUGGAGGGAGAGAUAGCUGAGGACUUUCUUUCUUGUAAGGAUAGCUAUGAUGUUGAGAAAUUACUGCUCAAGUGGAAAGAAAAAUCUUUGAACGCUAGGAUGAAAUACGACCCGAAGUUUGCUACUUCGCCUAUAUUUGUGACCGAUAAGGAUUAUGAAUUCUCUGUCGACCCUGAGUUAAUCACUCUGGUCGAAUCUGAUNNNNNNNNNNNNNNNNNNNNNNNNNNNNNNNNNNNNNNNNNNNNNNNNNNNNNNNNNNNNNNNNNNNNNNNNNNNNNNNNNNNNNNNNNNNNNNNNNNNNNNNNNNNNNNNNNNNNNNNNNNNNNNNNNNNNNNNNNNNNNNNNNNNNNNNNNNNNNNNNNNNNNNNNNNNNNNNNNNNNNNNNNNNNNNNNNNNNACUGCACGAUAUAGCCAUCCUAUUCACGAGAGAGGAAAAGAUCUACCACUACUAUAUCCUUAAGUUGUUUCCUUUCUCGCUAGAAGAUGAUGCUGAGACUUGGUGCACUUCUCUUGCUCCUGGUUGUGUGCGUAGCCCCCAGGAUAUGGUCUACUACUUCUCUGAAAAAUAUUUCCAUGCCCAUAAGAAGCAAGCUGCCUUGCAGGAAAUAUACAACUUUCUUCAAGCUGGAGAAGAGAGUCUCCCACNNNNNNNNNNNNNNNNNNNNNNNNNNNNNNNNNNNNNNNNNNNNNNNNNNNNNNNNNNNNNNNNNNNNNNNNNNNNNNNNNNNNNNNNNNNNNNNNNNNNCGUUACUUUGCCGCUACUACUGUCACUGCUGCUACUGUUACUCUGUUGCUACUGGUGUUACUUUGCUGCUACUGGUGUCACUCUGCUGCUACUGGUUAUUGUUGCUACUGCUGCUAUCAUACUACUUUGCUACUGAUACUUUGUUGCAGAUACUAAAUCUUUCAGGUGUGGUUGGAUUGACAACUCAACUGCUAAUACUUGAGAAUAUUAUUUGUCUUCCCCUUGAGUCGAAUCAAUAAAUUUGGGUUGAAUACUCUACCCUCGAAAAUUGUUGCGAUCCCCUAUACUUGUGGGUUAUCAAUGAUGAGCCGCUUGGACCAGAUUCCUAACACGGUGCAGGCGUGGACAAAGUUCGUUGCAUGUUGCGGAGCCGACGUGACUUUCACUCGUGUGAGUCCAUUGCAAGGAGGCUAGGGAAGAUAAGCUGAAGGCGCUCCAGGUGGCUAAUACGAAGAAGCUCUGGUUUGAGGACUUCAUGGAGACCUUCAUCGACGAGGCCACUCGCAUUGCUGAUGGGAUCGAUCUUGACACCUUUGUUGAGCCUGCGAGUCCUGGUGAGCCUAGAAAAGGAACUUCGAUUACAGUCCAAACUUUUAUUCGCCUUGGUAUGUCGAGUGUUAAUGUAUUCGUUUAAACUUCGUUCGGGUGUUGAACCCGAGUACUUUUGUCCGCGUAGACAACUUUAAUUCGUGCUGGAUAUCUUUGAGNNNNNNNNNNNNNNNNNNNNNNNNNNNNNNNNNNNNNNNNNNNNNNNNNNNNNNNNNNNNNNNNNNNNNNNNNNNNNNNNNNNNNNNNNNNNNNNNNNNNAUCUAUCAUGUAAUCGAGUUAGUUCUUGACGGGGAUUGAUCCCUAGUAUCCACUAUGUUCUAGAUUGAUGUUGCUACUACUUGGCUAUGCUUAAUGCUUGUCACUAGGGCCCGAGUGCCAUGAUUUCAGAUCUGAACCUAUUAUGUUGUCACCAAUAUAUGUGUGUUUUGGAUCCUAUCUUGCAAGUUGUAGUCACCUACUAUGCGUUAUGACCCGGCAACCCCGGAGUGACAAUAGCCGGAACCACUCCGGAGAUGACCAAAGUAUGAGGAGUUCAUGUAUUCACCGCGUGUUAAUGCGUUGGUCUGGUUCUUUAUUAAAAGGAGAACCUUAAUAUCCCGUAGUUUCCAUUAGGNNNNNNNNNNCGUCGCCAAUAUAUGUGUGUUUUAGAUCCUAUCUUGCAAGUUGUAGUCACCUACUAUGCAUUAUGACCCGGCAACCCCGAAGUGACAAUAGCCGGAACCACUCCGGGAGAUGACCAUAGUAUGAGGAGUUCAUGUAUUCACCGCGUGUUAAUGUAUUGGUCCGGUUCUUUAUUAAAAGGAGAACCUUAAUAUCCCGUAGUUUCCAUUAGGACCCCGCUGCCAUGGGAGGGAUGGCCAAUAGAUGUCAUGCAAGUUCUUUUCCCUAAGCACGUAUGACUACAUACGGAAUACAUGCCUACAUUAGAUUGAUGAACGGGAGNNNNNNNNNNNNNNNNNNNNNNNNNNNNNNNNNNNNNNNNNNNNNNNNNNNNNNNNNNNNNNNNNNNNNNNNNNNNNNNNNNNNNNNNNNNNNNNNNNNNAAAGUGGAGCAUGUGAUUCUACACGUCAUUCUACUCGAUUUACAUAUAUAGAUCAUCUCCAACGGAGCUACGGAUCAAAAGUUACGACUAAAUUACCUUAGCACGGUACGACACGCAAAACGAUGCAACCAGCAAGCUUAACCGUUUUAAUCAUGCAUGAGAGUGGGAAAAUAUUAAUCCNNNNNNNNNNNNNNNNNNNNNNNNNNNNNNNNNNNNNNNNNNNNNNNNNNNNNNNNNNNNNNNAAAAAAGAAUUAAUAUGGUGAUAUAACAAAGGAACCCAUGUUAUCACAUGGAAGCAACUACACCUGCAACUAGCAACGCUAACACAUGGUUAAGCAAGCGGUAACAUAGCCAAUCAGUGGUUUGCUAGGUUGUGAACAGGUUGAAGGUUGACAUAACAAUGUUGAGAGGCUGAUAUUUAACAGGUGGUAUGCAACGAGACAUAGCGAUAGAAACGAUAAUACUAGCAUGGCAAUGAUAGUAAUGGUAUCUGGGGAAAUGGUCAUCUUGCCUAAGAUCUUGCUUGGAAGAAGAACAACUCCGUGAAGCAGACGAACCGAUGUAGUCGAACGGGUCCUCACUUUCCAACACGCUUGCGGAACUCUAUUGAAACGAAGCAAACCGGAAACAAGCAUCAACACACGAUAUACAUCACAUGAUGAUGCAUGAACGGUUGGAUAUAUGCAAGACAUAGCAUGUCAUUUCACAACAUUCAACCACUACACAUUAAGUGAAGUUCAAUAUGCAACGAGUUGCAUAUUGACGAAACUCCACAUACGAUUUAUUUAGUUCUAUCCCGAUUAGGUACACAACAAUAUUAAAUGUGGUUAAACAUGGCAAGAGGUGAAGCGUAAUUAAUCUACCUAUCUAGGCAUUUUAAAUGAGGUCGGAAAUCACAUAUAGCACCUCUAGAACGACCUCACAUGUUAAUUUACUAUUCUGUCCAGACCUGAACUAACAUGUUUAAAUAUUUGUUGAACAGAAAAAUAAAUAGGUUCACGUGAUUCUACACGUCAUUACAAUCAAAAGAUACGAACACCACAAGAUAUGAUGGCAUGAAUGCAAAAUGUGUGCAACGACAGUCACAAGNNNNNNNNNNCAAGAUAAUAUGAAACUACACGAGAUUCUAAGAAAGUUUCAUAUAGGACACGAUCAAAACGGAGCAACGGUUCAACAACAACGAGCUAAACAAGAAAUCACUACAAUCUGCCAAAAUCAGCCACAUAACAUAUUCUACGUCCUCGAACAACUAGCUAGACAAAUCCAAAAUGCUCAAACAAAGCAUGAGUCAAUAGAGGGAAAGAUGCACUACCACAUGCAACUUAUAACACCUAGCAUGGAAGCAUGGAUCACUAGGAAAAGAACUCACAAAAUGGCAUCCCACACACAUUUUCAGACUUAGUGAAAUCUCAGUUUAUGACUGUGCAGUUUUCGAUAUGAAGGCAUAUUGACAGCAGCAAAACCAUAAGCUACAUGACUCCAAAUGGCAUGAAAAUUGACAGCAUGCUAGAGAAUCUUAAAGUCAACUAACUCCAUUGCACCAACCUCAAAAGAGCUAUAGAUCACCAGAUNNNNNNNNNNGAGCAAGUAGAAAACAAGCAAACCACACCUAAACAUGGAUUUCUAUUGCAACCAAAAUUACCAGAGGCUAGCCUACACAUCCAAGGGCAUAUCUCUAGUUGACAACUCGUCCAUAUCAUGCACGGAUUAAAUCCCACAAAAAUAAACAAAAGGGCAACAUGGCAAAAUAUCACGCAAACUAAUUUGCUCAAAAGCUAAANNNNNNNNNNNNNNNNNNNNNNNNNNNNNNNNNNNNNNNNNNNNNNNNNNNNNNNNNNNNNNNNNNNNNNNNNNNNNNNNNNNNNNNNNNNNNNNNNNNNGGUACAAGAAUAAAGAGGGGGAUGAUCUACGCAUAACGGACGUGAACUACUGAUGAUCAAAUGAAUGAUCCUGAACACCUACUUACGUCAAACAUAACCCCACCGUGUCCUCGAUCGGAAAAGGAGAUCACGAAAGAGACAGUCAUGAUUACACACUCAGUUGGCAAGUUUUUAAUUAAGUUAACUUCCAGUUAUCUAGAACCAGUGUUAAACAAAGUUUCCACGUUGCCACAUAACGGCGGGCAUGGCUUUCCGAAAGAUUUAACCCUGCAAGGGUGCUCCAACUAGUCCAUAACAAAUUACCACAAGCCGCAUAGAAAUCCUCGAUCACGAAACUCAAGAUCUCGUCAGACUCCUUAGUGGAAAACCUCAACUCUCAGAUUACCCAAAGCAUCACCGACAUCCCGAUGCACAAGAUAUCUCGUAAAAGGUAAAACUAAUCCAGCAAGGCCGCCCGACGUGUCGACGAUCCCGAUAGGAGCCGCGUAUCUCGUUCUUAGGACACGAUGGAUGAGCUAGACGUGGGGUUGGCUAAACCGUGGGUGACCAGGGGGAGCCGAAAAUCGCUCAGGUGGGACCAACACCCAUGAGGAGCACCAGCCCGGGGGUUGAUUAAAUUACUCCGCGGGUGUCGGCGGGUCCCUAUGCAUUAUUAUUAGGUUAUUAGGCAAAUGUAGUACCAAAGUUGGGCCUUGCGAGACCAGUUUUAAUCUAAGACGAAUUAUCAAGGGGGUCCCCAUAACAACCCCGAUCAUGUUAGGAGCGCUCAUUUAUGGAACAUAACACCUGUAGCCGAAACUAAGGAGGCAAAGGUGGAACAAAAUACCAGGCCAGAAAGGCCGAGCCUUCCACCUUUUACCAAGUAUAUAGGUNNNNNNNNNNNNNNNNNNNNNNNNNNNNNNNNNNNNNNNNNNNNNNNNNNNNNNNNNNNNNNNNNNNNNNNNNNNNNNNNNNNNNNNNNNNNNNNNNNNNUGUUAUAGUUCAUCAUGAAGCUCUCACGACUUGGUGGCAGUGACUUUGGAGAACCAUCAAUAUCUCAUCUGGAAGAUUAACUCCCACUUGAUUCAAGCGAUUGUCGUACUCAGACAAUCUGAGCACACGCUCAAUGAUUGAGCUUUUCUCCUUUACUUCGUGGACAAAGAAUCUUGUUGGAGGUCGCAUACCUCUUAACAAGGGCACGAGCAUGAAAUCACAAUUUCAUCUCUUUAGAACAUCUCUUAUGUUCCGUGACGUUUCAAAACGUCUUCGGCGCCUUGCUUCUAAGCUAUUAAGUAUUUUGCACUGAACUAUCGCGUAGUCAUCAGAAACGUGUAUGUCGGAUGUUCACAACAUCCACAGACGACGCUCGAGGUGCCGCACACCGAUUGGUGCAUUAAGGACAUAAGCCUUCUGCGUAGCAACGAGGACAAUCCUCAGUUUUACACACUAAGUCUGCAAAGUUUGGUAUUAUCAACUUUCAACUAAAUUUUCUCUAGGAACAUAUAAAAACAGUAGAGCUAUAGCGCAAGCUACAUCNNNNNNNNNNNNNNNNNNNNNNNNNNNNNNNNNNNNNNNNNNNNNNNNNNNNNNNNNNNNNNNNNNNNNNNNNNNNNNNNNNNNNNNNNNNNNNNNNNNNCUUGUAGCUGAGCGAUCAGUUUCUACACUUCUUAGAACUGAAACAGUUGCAGCAAACAUCUUGAGCAAACUUUUGAUUGACUUAUAGUGUGAACUCCAUCUCGUGUCCCCGACCCUUUGAAAAGAUCAUAUUUGAUUAGCCCCUCUUCCAGUGUCAAGCUCUCCCAAUUCAAUCUCUCUAGCAAUUUCAGCUGCCUAGUUUUCUAGUAACUCAUCAUUACGUUUGGGAGAUGCACUAACUCUAUUCACAACAAAAUUUGCAUGUUGGAAAAAAUUGUGAACCCCAUUUACCUCCCUUGAAGCGGCAACCAAAGCCAUUUGGAGUUGAUGAGCUAGACAAUGGAUAUAAUAAGCAUAAGGACACUCUUGGAGAAUUAGAGCCUUUAGCCCAUUCCACUCCCCUCUCAUAUUGCUUGCUCCAUCGUACCCUUGGCCUCUAAUAUCUUGCACAUUCAACCCAUUAUCAACUAGGAGGGCAAUGAUUUUAUUCUUGAGAGUAAAAGCACAAAUGUCACUAACAUGAACAAGAUCAAGGAAACGCUCCCUUAUCAACCCUCAUAUGUUCACAAACCGAAGAACUACUGCCAUCUGCUCUUUUUUAGACUCAUCCCGACAUUCAUAAACUACUAUUGCAAACUUGCUAUUACCCAUUUCUUCUUUAAUUGAGGUUUGCACUUUUCGUGAAAUUAUGCUAGCAAUUUCCUUCUGAAUAGUUGAGGAGGUGUACUUUGCAUUUUUAGGAGCAUUAUGUACAACUUCUUGUACAUACUUAUUAUAAGAGGCAAAAAGUUUAAUCAUUUCCUUGAAAUUACCUUAAUUCUUGGAAUCCUCAUAUUCAUCAUUUCCUCUAAAUGGACAUGCUUGGAACAUUAACCACCUGAUGCAAUCAAUAGAGAAUAAUUAUUAGAUAUAAUGCAUCAGGAAAAUUGUCUCAAAUUAAAUAUUUGUUGCUUACCUCAUGGCAUCAAUAGAAGUCUUAAGCCUCAGUCUUGCAUCAAGAACCAUUUGCUUAGUUUGCUUUUUCAUCACCUUGUCAAUAUGAGUUGGAUUAUUUUUCAUAUUUUCGUAACACCAAACUGUAAAGUUAUGAACCGAACUGGGAGUAGUGCCCAUAUGUUUGAGAAAAGCACAUUCUUUUCCAUCGUUAACCUUCUUCCACUUAUCAAAUCCUUUGACAGUGAAUGUGUUCGAACCACACUUCCCAACUGGCUUCUUCGAAAAGAGAAAACAUGGCAAGCAAUAGGCACAUUUUGUAUCAUCGAAUAUUCCAACCACCAAAUAUUUAUGUACCAAUCUUUUUGGAAUCGCCGAACAUCACUUCUUUCAUUAUAUUCAUAAUUUUCCAAUUCGGGCUGAUAGGCCCCUCACAUAUAUAAAAACGCCUAGCAUCAUCUUGCUUUUCUGGAGGGAGUUGCCAAAUUUGAGGGCGCCUCCCUGGGUCUCGAUCAUAUUUUUUGGUUAUAACUUUAGCUUCUUCUGUAACUUCUGGCACUGGAACAUCUUGAGGAUCACCUUCAGCAUGACAAGGGUUGUUCUCUUCGCUAGGUUGCACAUCAUUUGUAUUAGCACCAUCACCAUGUUCACAUGGCUGAGAGCUUGAACCAAUUGGCUUAAAAAGUAUGGAUUGAUUGAGAUCUCUUCCUCUUCAUGUAUAUAGAACACAAUUGGACAAUAAAAAAACUCUAAUUAGUUUUUAAUGUUUAUAUUCUUACAAUUACGUUCAAGACAGAAAUUAAUCAAAUGUUGGUGCUGCAAAAAAAACUGACCUUUCUUUCUUGUUUGGUCGCUCGUCACUCAUCAGUGUGGCCGGCCGGCCGGAAUACGUCGGGCCGCAGGGGAGUGUGGUCGUCGGGGUCUCACUGUCUUAGGGACGGUUGGCAGAGGCCUACCCUUCUCAAUGGAACGGAUGGAUCCGUGGAGAUUAGAUAGAGGAUAGAGGCGGCCGGCGGCAGCGAGCACCUGAGUCCUGCGUGAGUUUUUCGAAUCGCAUCGCAAGAACGAGCAGAUUGAAAACAAAGCAAACAGGAGACUUGGUACACGCCGCUGCGGCGCUGCCUGUGCGUAGAUCGUGGUGUCCUGCGUAUUGUUGCGGCACUGUCUGUUUGGUCCUCUGGACUGUUUGUGUACGUACAGGGCUCUGGGCCUCUGCCUAUGGGACAUGGGGGGCGAGACAACUAAAAUUUUCUGCGUACGAAGAAAAAAUCGCUCGUAACUAAUCGCUAUCACGGGAUAGUGAGAUCGUUGGGGUGGUCUAGCCCCCUGCCCCCAUCCCUUAAAAUCGUCCCUGGUGGUGCCUCGAAGCUCACUCAUUGUGGUGUAAAGAUCCGGGCAAGCUUCGGUGUAUCCAAUUAAGUUGUGGAGAUUGCCCCGAGCAUUUGUGGUCACCUCGAAGCCAUAUGCCAUUGUGAUGAAGCUUCAUGGUGUUGUUGGGAUCCUCCAAUUAAGUUGUAGAGAUUGCCCCAACCUUGUUUGUACGGGUUCGGUGACCGCCCUCAAGGGUCCCUUAGUGGAAUCACGACAUCUUGCAUUGUGCGAGGGUGUGAGGAGAUUACGGUGGCCUUAGUGGCAUCUUGGGGAGCAUUGUGCCUCCACACCGCUCCAACUGAGAUUAGCAUCCGCUAGGGUGUGAACUUCGGGAUACAUCGUCGUCUUCGCGCCUCGGUUAUCUCUUACCCAAACCCUUUACUUAUGCACUUUACUUUGUGAUAGUCAUAUUGUUUCUUGUCAUAUAUCUUGCUAUCACUUAGUUGUUUAUCUUGCUUAGCAUAAGUUGUUGGUGCACAUAGGUGAUCCUAGUUGUUUUAGGUUUUGUGCUUGACAAAUUAAACGUUAGUUUUAUUCCGCAUUUGUUGAAGCCUAAACCGUAAUUAUUUUAAAGCACCUAUUCACCCCCCCCCUCUAGGUGACAUCCACGUCCUUUCAAUUGGUAUCACAGCUAGGUCUCUCUUUAUUAGGUUUAACCACCUAGAGAGUGAGGAUGUCGACUAGGGGUUUAGGAUUCUCUGACACUCUUAGUUUCGAUGACACAAAUUUUGAUGUUUGGGUAAUUCGCAUGCUUCAUCACUUUAGGGUCAUGGACCCAAAUUUGGAGUGAAUUGUAGAUAUGGGUUUUUGUCCUCCAAAGGAUUCUUAAAAUAUAUCUUUAGAGGAUGAGAAAAACUCUUAUCUCAAUGCUCAAGCUUCUAAUGUGCUUUUUGAUGCUUUGAGCAAUGUAGUUAUAUUUCAACUCAUGCCAUUCCGAGAUGCUCAUGAAUUGUGGACAAAGCUUCAAGAUAAAUAUGGUACAUCCAAGAUUUCUGGGAAUUAUUAUUGUCCCUGCACCUCCGGUCGUGUGGUCUUCUCAACUUCAUCUACUUCACCUACAUGUGGAUUUCCACAAGGUAAUGAUAUGGUGAGUAGUGGAGAUCAUUGCAAUGAUGAUAGUGGGAUUAUUGUUGAUGAUCCUUCAUCACUAUAUUAUUGCAAUGCUUCAUCUUUGGGCGUUAACACUUUGAGCACUCUAAAUGUUUUACAUGCUUGUGUUGAUAGUCCGUGCAUAUCAUGUAAAAACUGCUUGACUAAAUCUCAUGAUGAUAUGCUUUCUAUAUCUUUUUGCCUUGAUAAAAAUGUAUCUAUUUCCUCAAGUUGUUGUGCUACCAAUGUAGAGGAAAUCCAUCACUCCAUGGAACAAGAUGUGUCCUUAAAUCAUGCUUCAAGGGAUCCCAGAUCAUCAUCUAUUGUUUCUCACUUUUGCCUUAUGGCUAAGGCUUCAAAGGUAUCUCCUACUUUGAAUCCCAAUAUAUCUCAUGAUGAUGAUGUUGAUCAUAAUGAGGAUGAGGAUAAAGAUGAAGAGAGUUAUGAUAUUGGAUCCUUAAAAAUUAAGGGUGAAAUGAUUUUUAAAUCUCUUUAUAAGAAUAAACUUUCUUGUUCCAACUUCAUGGAAAUCGUGUCUAUUGCCACUCAGGGCUAGAAAUAUAUUGAGGAGUUCGAAGGUCAUCUCUAGGAGCAUGAGGCCAUCAUUGAGAGAAUGGAAGAUCAUGAGCAUGAUUACGCUAAUGAGAUCGCGAAGCUAUCUCAAGCUCUUGAAAAUGAACAAACCACCAAGGGAUCUCUUGAGGAGACCUUUGCUCUAGAAUUAUAUAGAUUAAAGGAAUCUCAUGAUAAAGCUCUCGAGGUGGCUAAUGAUUUUAGAACUAAAAAUGAUAAGCUUGAAGUUGCACAUGCUAAACUCCUUGAGGACUAUGAGCACCUUGAAAAUGGCUCAAGGGCUAUUAAGAGUUCGCUCAUCGAACUCACCGAGUCUCAUGCUCAACUUGAAGCGUCAUAUGCUAAAGAGCUUGCCAAGUUGCCUUCUCCUCUUACUGUUAAUAAUGAUGCUUGUGCUACUAACUCUAUUUCUUGUGAAGCAUCCAUUUUAAAGGAGAAUGUUGAGCUAAGGGCUUAACUUGAGCUGUUAUCUAGCAAUUAUGGGAAAUUGGAAGAAAGUCAUCUAAUGCUCACAAGCUCUCAUGAUGAUCUUCUAGUAUCCCAUAAUGUGCUAAAAUUAGCUCAUGAGGCUACUACUACCAAGGUAACAUCAAGUAAGCCUCAUGUGGACAUUAGCACUACUUCUAGUCAAAAUGCUAUAUUGCCAUGUGCUAGUCCUCGUAAUUCAUCUACUCAUAAUUUUGCUACAUCUUGUGAUGAAUUACUUUCCUUCCUUGUUGCUCUAACAAUGAAGCUUAUACUUCCUCUAGUACUUGUGUUUAUACUAACCAUGUAGAGGAAAUCGAAGAGCUCAAGGCCCAAGUCACUUCAUUGAAGAAAGCUUUGGAAAAGAGUCAAGAAGGGAUGUCCGCACUCAACAAUGUCUUGCAUGGGAAAAAUCCCCAAUUGACAAAGGUGGACUUGGGUUCAACUCUAACAAGAAGAACAAGUCCAAAAGCUUCAAGAAGAAGGGCCAAGAACAAGUCAAGAAUUCUGCCAAGAUUGUUUGCUUCAAGUGCAAAGUUGAAGGGUGCCAUGUUGGAUCUUACCCAUUAAAGAAGAAGCCCCAAAGUCACAAGCGACAAGGGAAGCGGCCACAAGUUCAAUCAUGUACUUAACUUCAAGUUGAAGAAAGGCCUCUUCCCAAGAAGACCCAAGCCAACAUUCCUGAAGUUGAGAAAUCAAUUGGGAAGAAAGUAAAGGGUAGAUGUUGCUACUUAUGUCGUGAGAAGGGUCAGUUUGUUUUUCUUGCACGAGAGGUAACUUAUCCAACCCAAUCAUUAUUGAUGAUAUCUAUUAACUUGGGAAGGAUAAGGUUGGAAAUGUGUUUGCCAAGUUUGUUGGUACUCAAAGUGGUGUCAAGAAAAGAACCAUUUGGGUAGCCAAUCCUAUUGUGACUAACCUCUUAAGACCCAACGUAAUUGGGGACCAACAAGCUCAAACUUGAUCAAUAGGUGAUCGUGGAGGACAUUGGAGACUUGGUUUCAUCUUGAAGAAUUAAGGGACCAUCAUAAUUCAUACUAUCUCAAGUCAAGUCAUUUGGAUUCUCGAGUUUCUAUCUUAUAUCCAAUGUGCCUCCUUACGGUAACUUGUACUUAAAUUGGUUACAUUGUUAGUUACUUUCCCCUUUGCAUAAUGUGGUUUUUUACCAUGCAUAUGUUUGUAUAUGUUGUGCUUCCAACUUACUUAUCUUGAGUAAUCAAGUAUGUGUACAUCAGUUUGCACAUCAUGUACAUGUGAGUCUUGUAUUGAGCCUCUUUGCAUCUUGUUUGUAUCUUUGGUGUCUCUUUCGAGAGAUUAAAGGAUUAUCCCAUUGUGGAGGAGGGAUGUGCUCUGUGCACCCCACAAUCAAAUAGAUGUGUAUACAUGAGUAAUACCACUUAGUAUUGAUAUUACAAGUUUAUCUAGUCUCUAGCUGGUAUGUCCUGCUCAUGAGAAAUUCAGAUUCUAAAUGGUCCAUUAAUUAUCUCUUGUUGAGUUUCAUUUGCCACUUGUUAAUAAUGUUAGGUUAUCACAUUAUGGGGGAGUAAUAUGCUAUGUGCAUAUUACAAGCCUAGAAAAUGUGUAUAUUUGAGGUAUUGCCACUUAGUGUUGAUAUUGUAAAUUAUCUUGUUCCUAGGUGGCAUGUUAGCUCUACAAGUGUCAUUUGCUUGCGUUUUAGGAGUAAAGAUGAUGUUGGAUAUUUUUUCAAUCUACCAAUGGAAAUUGUUUCCAAAUACUUCUUGUCCUUUGACAAUUGGUUUUCCCUUCAUGUGGUAGAAAUUUCUAAUCAUCUUUACAUUGGAUUUUAUGUAUCAUUUGUCUUCCUUGCCUCUUGCGGAUUGGUUUGAACACACUCUUUAUACGUCUAUCAUAAAAUCUUUUGAUCCCCAUCAAGUGUGUGUUGAUGGGAGGCAAGUCUUGCUCUUUAUGAUGCUUUGUUCCAUCAUGAAAAUUUGUAGAGGGUUUGGUUUGUUUGGAACCUAGCUCUUUUGGAAACUACAUACCUCGUGUUUGUUUUCCUUCAAUUGGUAUCUUGUUUCCUUUUGUCUGGCAUGUGUCAAUGGAUAUCAUUCUUUGAUGUAUCUUUUAAUUGGUAUCCUUCAACUGAUAAUUUUCCAUUUGGUAUUUUAUUUUCACUUGAUACCUUAUCUUUUGGUGUCUUAUGAACUACGUGUUGAUUUGAUUUUUGAAUACCUUGAGCAUGCAUAUUUACUAUAUACAUAUAGUUUAUUUUGCAUGCUUUCUUUCCUUGACCCGAUAUAUAGGGGAAACUCCACCUUGUCAUAAAUUGGCUAAAGUGUACAUGAAAUUCAAUUUCAUAUCUAUAUGCACAUAUUUAUGUGGAGUAUGUCCUAUGUAUGGUUAGUUUUCUAACUCUUUGGUCCCAAUGAGUUUGUGCACCAUUUUGUUUGUUUUUUUGUUCUAGGAACAAUUGGAGAGGCAUUGGAUGCUCGGCUCACCUAUAAGGAAGGUGUUUACACCAUGUGCUUAUUGGAGCCAAGUUAGGAUGAUCAACGAACAACUAUCUACUACAUCAAUCCAGUGCUAUCUCGCUAACAAGUAUCUACUUUAUGCAUACAAUUCUUGCAUUCAACCUUUCGUAGGUUGCAUCAUGGCAUGAAUUUCUUGAUUCAUUCCUGUGGUACUUGUUUCCUUCCUCAAAGCAUCUGAACGAUGAUGUCUUAUUGCUAUUUGGGAUGUAUUUUAUUUUAAUAAGUUGGAAGUUUAUAUUCUACAAUAAGAAAAUAUUAGGCCAUGUGUUCUGCUUUCAAGCAAAGAUCUUAUUGGUAUAUUUAUGACUUCCUUUUGGAUAUCUUGUUUGUUCCUUCUUGUAACCAUUUCGUGUGUACAUCUUUCUUUGUGGAUAUAUAUCAUCAUGAUUUUCUUCUACCUAGAAUCUUUUAUACAUGGGAGAAGUUACAUCUCUAGUUGAUAUCCUCUUUUCUUUCACGUCCAUCGUUGCAUUUCCUUUUUCAGUUUUUGGUGGCUUCGUGAAAGGAUUUGUCUUGAUUGUGGAUCUUUUAUCCUUGCAUCUUGAUGCACUCGUUGGUGGCGAAGAUUAUUUUUCCUCAUACCUCUCUUAACAAGGGUGUUUACAUUUUGGUUGGUAUCACUUCUCUUGACAAGGUUAUUAUUUCCUUUCUUCACCAUGGGUUGUCACAAGUGUCGGUCUUAAUUUGUUUAUUAGUAAGCUUGUGAACCUAUUUUCUAGUAGUGUGUGUGUGGGAAGGAUAUUUCUUGCACUUUGUUCUUAUUUCUUCAAGACUAUAUUGAUGAUUAAUGAUCAUCCUCACCUUAGUCUUCUCAAGUGUCUUGCCAUGACUCAGACACAUCAUUUUGGUUGAGCCUACUCUUAAGUUGACUCUUUUACAUGUUGCUCAACCAUAUGUUUUGUGCAAGUGAUAUACUUAUUGUCUCAUCUAUUUUCUCGCACUUGUUGUGUGAUUUUAUUAAUUCUGGGGGAGCAACGAUCCUAUUUUGUGCACUUGUAUCAAAUACAAAAAAAAUAUUAUUAGUGCACAAAUCAUGGGGAGCUUCUCUAGUUUUGAUAAAACACACUAUUGUCCUUAUCAUAAUAUCCUUUAUUCAUGUGGUUCGAUGGACCAUAUGAUUGCUUGUUCCUAUUGGUAUCUUUUGAUUGUGUGCUUUUCUCGUUUGUAUGUCUUUGUGACCUACCAUCCUUCUUGCAAUCUUUGGGUCCUCGAUAUAGUUCGUUUUCAUCCAACGUUUAUCAUUGCAUUUGUGUAUUUCUUUGCACUAUUGUUGAGAAGUACACACUUUUUGGAGGACCACCUACUAUAUUGGCUUUCUAAACUUUUUGUCCAUUUUGGCAAUCGAUGCCAAUGUGGGAGAAGUUUAGAGAGUUUAGUUUGGUGAUGCAUAGAGGGUUUUUCAUUUAUUGCUUAAGCAUUUACAUCUUGUACGUAUGCAUUAUAGCUUUGUAUGUGUGUGCUUGGUUAUGCUUAUUUCCUUAUAUAAACUCUCUUAUACUGAUUGUCAUCAAUUACGAAAAUGGGGGAGAUUGUUAGAGAAUAUUUAUCCAUAUGUGGUUUUGGUAAUUGAUGACAAUCCCUAUGGACUAAUGGUUGACUUAAGUUAUAUUCGAAGGAUUUGUCCAUCUGCACUUCUUGAAGUCCAUCUAUUGGUGUCAAGGAGUUUAUAUGAUGACCAAGGUGGUAUUCAAGGUAUUAUCCAAAUAUUGGUCAUAAAGACACAAGGUUUAUCAAGAAUAAGCAAAGAGUAAAUCAAUAUGAUCAACACACAAAGUGUACAAGAUGUACCGAGAGGGAUCAAGUGAUCCCAUGGUAUGGUAAGCAUUGUCCAUAACGGUUUUGUGUACUAACCCAUGGUCCUUGUGAGAGUUCUAUGUGGGGUUAGGUGUGUCUCCAUGGGUUUGCAUCAAGAGGAAGAUCUCAUUCAACCUAUGAAGGAUGACAUCAAGUGGUGUUCAUCAUCAAGAUUGCGGUGUGCAAGUUAAAGUGGAGCAUCACAAAGAUAUCAUGCUUGAAGCUUGUCGUUCAUUGUGGUGGUAAUGGACUUGUCAAGAUGUGCUGAAGAGUGGGUCACCCAUAGUGAGUAUGGGGGACCAAUCGACUAGUCUUCGUCAAACCAAGGCAAUCAAUAAAGGUGGUCCAUCUAGAGGAAGCCAAGAUCAUCAUCAUCUAGCUCAAGAGGACUAGGUGCAAGGUAUAGGUUUGUCCUAGAUAGGUUUUCUAUUUUAGGAUAGAUUGUUGUACUGUCAAGGGGGAUCUCAAGUGAGUAGCUUGAUCAUAUCUUUCGUUCAGAGAUCAAACCAUUUGCAUGCUUGCGUCAUAUUUCUUGGUUCUUGUUUGGUGUUUCUCUUUGUGAGUUUUAGAGCUUAUGGUCAUCUUCAUGACAAGCUUGAGUUCAUCGAAAACGGAGUCCAUAUGCAUCUUCUAUGAUCUUUUCGAUGUUGGAAGUUUUUGCCGGUUCUUCAUUCAUAGAGGUCUCACUUCUCUAUAUCAUUGACAUUUCCUAACUGCAUGUUCUUAAGAUUUUGUCGUUGUGAAUUCAACAAGCUUGAGUUUGCUCGAUUCGGAGUUUGUAUGCGAAAGUUAGAGCAGUUGAAGUAUCCAGCGGUAGUACCACUACUCGUGCCAACGGUAGUAAUUUUUUACUACCACUCUCGGGCGGUAGUACCGCUCCCUCGGAUGUUCUAGGAGCGGUAGUACCGCUCUGGGAAACAGUAGUACCGCUCCAGUCGGGCUGUAGUGGGGGUAACAGUUGGAUUCGUUCCCCCACUAUAUAAAGGAGGUCUUCUUCCCCAUUGGACCAUACCCAUCCGUUGAGCUCAUGUUCAUCCCCCAUUAUUGACCUUCUUAGAGCUUGCUAACUCUCAAUCCCUCCAAUGAUUCUUGCUAGUUCUUGAGGGAAAACAGAGAGGAGAUCUAGUUCCACAUCUCCACCAAUCACUUUCUCCUCUAUGUGAGGGGAACCCCUUGGAUCUUGAUCUUGGAGUUCUUUGUGAGCUCCUUGUUAUUCCUCUCAUAUUUCUCCAUAGCUUUUUUUGUUGUGGAGGUAUUUGAGUGUGAGGGACUUGACCACUUCAUGUGUUCUUGCCAUUGCAUUAGCUGCAUCGGUUUGAGUUCUCCACGGAGAUACGUGGAAGUGAGAAGUUUAGAAGCUUAUUACCCUUGGGUACUUGGUACCCCGAGAAGCUUAGUGGUGCCUCCGAGCUCAAUCAUUGUGGUGUAAAGCUCCAGGCAAGCUUCAGGGUAUCCAAUUAAGUUGUGGAGAUUUCCCCGAGCAUUUAUGGUCACCUUGAAGCCAUAUGCCAUUGUGGUGAAGCUUCGUGGUGUUGUUGGGAGCCUCCAAUUAAGUUGUGGAGAUUGCCCCAACCUUGUUUGUACAUAUUUGGUGACCGCCCUCAAGGGUCCCUUAGUGGAAUCACGACAUUUUGCAUUGUGCGAGGGCGUGAGGAGAUUACGGUGGCCUUAGUGGCAUCUUGGGGAGCAUUGUUCCUCCACACCGCUCCAACUGAUAUUAGCAUCCGCUAGGGUGUGAACUUCGGGAUACAUCCUCGUCUCUACGCCUCGGUUAUCUCUUACCCGAACCCUUUACUUAUGCACUUUACUUUGUGACAGCCAUAUUGUUUCUUGUCAUAUAUCUUGCUAUGACUUAGUUGUUCAUCUUGCUUAGCAUAAGUUGUUGGUGCACAUAGGUGAGCCUAGUUGUUUUAGGUUUUUUUCUUGACAAAUUAAACGUUAGUUUUAUUCCGCAUUUGUCCAAGCCUAAACCGUAAUUAUUUUAAAGCACCUAUUCAUCCCCCCCCCCUCUCUAGGCGACAUCCACGUCCUUUCAGUUUGCAAGGGUCUCAACAAGCAUAACCUUUUCAAUGGUAGGUUCCGGAGAAAUUACCACCUUGCCGAGACCCAAUACCUUUGAAAUCACGUCAUCACCAAAGGAGACGUGGGUGGCAAUGGAUGGGUCGGGAUGAAUGUCCACCACCAAGUCCUUUCUCCCGGUCAUAUGAUUUGUUGCUCCACUAUCAAGCAACCAUGAUACCCCACCGGAAGCAAACUCCUACAUAAGAUCAAUGCUUGGAUAUAGGUACCCAUUCUUUAAUGGGUCCGCUCAUGUUAGUAACAAGGGUCUUAGGAACCCAAAUAGACCAUGCAAUGUACUCAUCAUAAGAGCCAACAAACUUAGAAAAAACAUUUCCAUCAUUCGCACGUCACAACACAUAGGAGGGGUUAAAGUCGUUGGUUGUGUUGGGUAGAGGGGUAUUGCCCUUCACGGCAUUAUCACCCUUAGCUUGGUUCUUUUUCUUCCCAUGAGUAUCCUUCCCAAAUUUAACAAAUGUUUCCAUAAGAUGGGGAGGUUGCUUGGUCUUCUUCUUGUCGUUCUUCUUCUUGGUGUUGUGUGCAAACCCAACUCCUUCCUUUGCAACCACUUCCUUUUGACUGCUCAUAAGAUCAUUAAGAUUCUUUUCACCUUGGAUGCAUGUCACAAGGCCUUUCUCAAGCUGCUCUCUUAAUUUGGACUUCUCCUCCACAAGAUGUACAUGCUAACAGCAGGGGUUAGCAGCAUGGACACUAUCAAUUAAAACAAAUGGAGAUCAAGUGGAUAUUUCCUUAGUGAGUUUGACUUGAAGUUGAGCAUGAGACUCUUUUAAAGAGACAUGAGUACUCUUCAAGGCCUUGUGAGCCUUGUAAAGUGUUGCAAGCUCUUUCUUGAGUCUAACAUGAUCAAGUCCAGGUGCACUCUUUUCGGAUUGAAGCACACUAGUAAGAACAAGAGCAUGAUCAAGAUCUUUCUUUAACUUAGCAAGGUCAUCGUUAAAUGACUCCUCAAGAAUCAAAUGAAGUCCUUGCUCAUUUUCAAGAGCAAUGGAAAGAUCCGCAAUCUCAUUGCCAUAGUCACGACUAUGACCUUGUAGGGUAGAGAUGGUAUCUUCAUGAGAUUCAAUAAUGUCAUUGUCUUGAGUUGUUCUUGGAAAAGUUGGCCCUUGUGUUUCUCUUGCCCCAAAACUGCCUUGAUGCAAGAUCCAUAUGCUCAUGGUAAGCAUACUUGGUGUCUUCAGGACAAGAUUCUUCUUCGUCUUCCUCAUAUUCCUCUAAAGAAGCCUUGGCCUUGAAAGCAAGGUUGGGAGAGUCCUUUCUUGACUGUUGAACUCGAGCUAGAGCAUUGUCAGUAGUUUUGUUCAAAAUAUUCAUCGCAAUGAACUCAUCCAACACAUCACUUGAGUACAAGGAAUGAAAGUAUAGACUUUGAUGAAUGAAGGAGGACAUGGACUUGUUGAAAGGCAUGAUGGCCUUGAGAAACAUGUGCUUAAUCCAAGUGGCAUCCACAUCUUUGCUUCCAUGAUCUUGAAGAGCCACAUUAAGAGUUGUAACUCUCUGAUAGAGCUCACGAGGGUCAUCAUCCUCGAUCAUAGCAAAUUCAUCGGCCUCAUCGAGAACCACUUUAUAGUUGGACCUCUCAAUGCUAGAGCUUCCCUUGUACAUAGAGAUGAUGUGCUCCCAACAAUCUUUGGCACGAGUGAAGGGACGCAAGUGAGGAAGGUCUUCAACAGGUACAGCUUCUUGAAGAAUGAACAAGGCGGAGUGGUUGAUCUGAUUGCCUACCUCUUCUCUUGGCGUGAGAUUUCUUGGAUCAAGUGGGUAGUAUCCCUGCUCAAUGAUUCUCCAAAGUUGUGUUGAGCUGUGGUUCAAAUGAGACUUGAUACGAAAAACCCAGUUAGCAAAAUCACUCUUAACAAGCUUUGGUGGAGGAUCUAGAUUAAUAUUAUGCGGUGGGUGAACCAGUCCUCCAUAGAUCAAGAGAGGAGGAACACAGGUAAAGGCAUUAGCCCCGCUUGUUCCUUCAAGCAUUUUAUCCUUUUCACUACUAGCAUUUCCCAUUUUGGAAUAGCCUCCCGAAUCCAAAGAUGUAGGAUUCACCAGCAACAAUGGGUCGGUAGACGGCUUGUAAUUAUUAAGCAUGUUUUUGACUUUGAUAGCCAUAGAGGAUUUAAAUGUGGAUAUGACCUCAUUCAAUUCCAAUCGGGUGACCGAGUUUGCAGCAGCUCCCUCGGGCACCUCAUCAACCCGUUCCCUAUCGUCACCCAUACUCUUUGGGUGGUAAAACCCUUAAUAAAGAGACGGGGCUCCGAUACCAAUUGAAAGGAUCGAUAUGGUUGACUAGAGGGGGUGAAUGGGAAAUUAACAAAUUUUAAGCUUUUCUUUAAACAAAUUAGGUUUAGCAACAAAUAGGUUGUCCAGAUAUGCAACUAGGUGAGCAACAUAUAUGAUGCUAACAACAACAAUAAUAAGCAAAGAGUAAAUAGAAGUAAAGGUAAGAAAUAACCACAGGCGGAACCGAUGAAGACGAGGACGUGUUCCCGAAGUUCCUUCCCUUUGAAGGGAAGUACGUCUCCGUUGGACCGGUGUGGAGGCACAAUGCUCCCCAAUAUGCCACUAAGGCCACCGUAUUCUCCUCACACCCUCACACAAUGCGAGGUGUUGUAAUUCUACUAAGUGAUGCCCUUGAAGGUGGCAACCGGACCUUUACAACAAGGUUGGGGAUCUCUCCACAACUUAAUUGGAGGCUCCCAACAAAACCACGGAGCUUCACCAUAAUGGAAUGUGGCUCUGAGGUGACCUAUUUCGUCUAGGGUGCUCAAACACCCAAGAGUAACAAAAUCCACACAAGAACUUGGGGGAAUCAAUUUUACUUUGGUGGAAUGUAGAUCUAGGUCUCCUCCUUCAAUCCCUAGCAAGAUAACAAGUUUGGGUGGCUAGGGAGAGAGAUCGGGCAAGAAAGCUUCAGUGCAUCAAUGGAGGAGAGAGAGAGGUAAGAGAUAAAGGGGGGAGAAGAAAACCCCCCUUGUAUAGGCCCCCCAGAUUUCUAACCAUUACAACAAAAUUGCACUGGGCGGUACAACUAGUUGUGGGGACGGUACAACCGAUGUUUCUAUUUUAGCGGAACAUCCAGUCAACCACCGCCAUACAACUGGACCAAAACAGGAAGUUGGCCCAGAGGUGUCACCAGCCAUGGCUGCUGGGCGUGGCUAAGUCCCAAGUGGUGCAACCGCUUGGAACACCGGUAGUACUGACUAUAAUUAAUAUAGCGGUACAACCGGACCACCACUGCCCAACAACAGUAGUGAAACAGAACCGUGUCCGGUGGUGGACCGGUGUAGGACCGGUACAACUGCCCAUAGCACUGGUACAACCGGUGAGUAGAAAAAUUGGGGUUCCUCUCUCACAAUGAUGCGAUGGAACAUGAUGGGUGCACCCAUAGUAUGGGAUUCCUACGACCAAAGAGAAUAAACACGUAGGGAACACAUCUUUGAUCUUUUCCGUUUGGAGGGAAUGCCUAACCAUCUUGUGUCUUAACAAAUGAUACCUACAUACUUGACACCCGGUUAGAUAACAUAGUGAGUUUUCAUCAUCACCAAAACACUUAAGCAGGAGAAUGCCCUUACAAUAGUUUCAGACUAAGUGAAAAUAAUAGUUUUUAACAUAGUAGUUUUAUUAUGAAGGCAUAUUGACAGCAAAAAAAACAUAUGCUACAUGACAUAUAAUGGCAUGAAAAUUUACAGCAUGGUAGUAGGCAUGAUGCACUUCAUUUCAAUACAUUACGCCAACAUCAAAGGGGUUGUAGAACAAUAGAAAAUGACAUGGAAACAUAGCAACAAAAUAUAAGAGAUUCCACACUUAUAAUUAUUUUGACCCUACAAACAACAACAUUUUCAUGGCAUGUUCACAUGAUGGAACUACAGCUAAACAUGACAUACAUGGCAUGGAAAAUAUCCUAACAUCAAGAAGACAUGGCAAUAUACAACUUUCUCCAUUGCACACAUUCAAAAUAGGCAUGGAUUGCUUAAUACAAGCUUUGUAAAAUGGAACUUUACGAAAACAGAUUAGCAGUUUUAACAUGAUAUCACCACAUGGCCUUUGGGCCAGCGUGGUGGAGGGGCUCGGCUGGGCCUCCGCUGGGCAAGCUGGAGAUGACUGGAGGCCCAUGAGGGCAGUUAAUGUGGGGAAGUGGGCGCUAGACUACUUGAGCAUCGAAGCUCCCAAUAUGAUCUGGAUCGGGGCUCGCGUGGGAGGCAGCCGACGGGGAACAACAGCAUGGCCAUGGUGGGGUGAGGACGGAUAUGGCCGGCGGAACUCGGUCGCAACUCGAUCUGAGGGUGGCGGAGGCAGCUCCAUUUGGCAGCAAGGAUCGACGGGCGUCGCGAGGCGGCGAGCUGGGGGCUUGGGUUACAUCACAGUCGGUGGUUCUUAAGGCCACGGGCGCGACGUUGGGCACCUUCGGUGGCGACGCUGGGCACCGGCAGGCCAUGGUGCGACAAGGUUCCUCGGUGGUGGCGGUGUGACAGCAUGGCAGCAGGCCUGGCUGGGGGCUGAGGGAGCUCGGCUCCAUGACGGGAAGGCGCACGCAACAUGGCGUGGCUGUAGGGGGCUGCGGGCAGCGACGGGUGCGUCCAUCCGACAAUUUAACCGGCUAUAUCCUUUAUAUGUUUAACGGUCCGCAUAUCAAACUACCUCCGAAUGUGACGAAAUUUGGCACAUGGUCUACCUACUCUAUAUUAGGACCGCACGCCAACUAUUGACCCAUUCCAAGAAAGUUAUAUACACACUUUUAAAAACAAUAUUUUAGAAAUGUCGUCGGCGCGUGCAUGUGUAGUUGGUCACGAAACGGUCAAUGACAAGAAUGGAAAGAACAGAGAACUAACAACGGAUGCAAGUUUUGGAAAAUGAUGGCAACGGAGUGCCUAUGCAAUGUGAAUGAUCCGCAGGAUGCGAUGAUGAAUGCGAUAAUCAAAUAAAUCGCAUGGCAACAAUGGAAUAUAAAGGGAAUCUUCUGGAGCGUUUGGUCUCGGCUGUUACAACUCUCCUCCACUAACAGUAGAUCUCGACACGAGAUCUUAAAAUGAAAAGAGGAAGAGGAAGAGGAAAGGAAGAGGUAAAACUUAUUUCCUUCUUUGACAAACGAGUGAAACCAAGCUUCCUUGAAGGUUACAAUAGAUGAAGAAUGGAAGGAGGAACAAGCAAGAAUUCAAAAGAAAUUUGGGUGGCACUUCCUUAGGAAAGAGAAGCGAAACUUGAUAAGAUGGAAAAAAAUUGAAGAGAGAACACAACACUUCGGUUAAAUGGACAAGCAAGGAAAGAACAUGAUCUUGACAAAAUGAUAUGGUGAAUUGAAGAGCGCAACCAUCGGAACAAAAGAAUGAUCAAAACAAUGAAGGUUGAACAGAAUAAGAUUAUGACCUUCCAAGAUUUAGAUGGAACUUCGAGAAGAGAUGCUUGAGAAAAUCUUGAAAUUUCGGAAAGCAGAGAUAACAAUUUGGAAUCUAGAAUUUGAUAUCAUGAACAACUCCGAAAGAAGAAUUGAAAUCACUUUGAAGUAAUAAGAACAAGAAUUAUGUUAUGCUUAUUCUUCAUCAAGUUAAAUUGAUGACAAUCAUGAAUUUGGCACACCACUUGUUCUUCUUGACAACAUUGGAGAAUAUCUUGAACAUGAAGAACUCUUGGGAAAACCACCAGUUAGAACUUGAAACGAAUGAGGAUGCUACAAAUGAACGGGGAUACAUGAGAACGAAGAGAUCAUGAUCCACCUAGCAGGGAACUAGAAUGAAGCACCGGAAUAAUUGAGAGACGAACGAAGAGACAACAAUUGAGAAGAAUUGGAGAAUGAAAGAUAAAAGCUGAGAACAAAGAAAUCUUCUUAAAUGAUGGCCCUCAGAGGAUAAUGACAACAACUCUGAUAUGCACAGGAUAGAUAUGGAAGGAAAUACUCAUGAUCAAAAACAAUUUAAGAGUAUCACCAAAAUAUGAGAUGACAAAUCUUCAAAAGAAGGGAGAAAGAUUUAAGAGGAACUUUCAUCUUGUAUUUAAUGCACAGAAAGAUGGAAAGAAGCACCAUCAAAAAUUACUGAGACACUCCAAAACAAUGAAUAAGGAAAAAAGUUGAGCCAACCAUGAAAAUAAUUUGAAAACGAUCUUGAGAAGGAAUAUGACUGAUGCAAUCCAUACUUAUGUCUCACUUGAAAAGAAUUAUAGAUCUCCGGAAAACAUUAGAAGAUCCAAGUAAGACCCUCGGAAAAUGUAUGGGUUAUGGGACCACUCAAAGAGAACACCAUUGAAUCGAUUGAUUGGGAAGAUAGGGGAUGCACCGAUAUAAAUUAAACUUGAUGAGGUGAGACCCUCGAAAUAAUUUCAAAGUAUAGAAUGAAAACACGAAUCUUCAGAGACAUCUUUAGCACUCCAAAUAGAAUAGACAGGGACGAAAACUAAGAGAGGCUUGGAUGAGACUUUCUAACAUGGAAAAGCAUUUGGAUGAAAAGGAUAUGAUGAAGCUCAAAAUCUUGAAUUGAAUCCACGAGAGAAUAACACAGAGACGAAGAAAUGAUGAACUUAACACAUGAGCAUCUUCACAAUGAAUCACAAGAUACAACACAGAAGAGAACAUAACGAAAAAUUCAUUGAAAGGUAAGGCACUGGGAUGAUACUUAAUCAUUGAAUAAAAAGGGUGGGAGGGUGGGGAAAAACAAAGAAAACUUGGGAUAGAUGAGACGAACUCCGGAAAGAAAUAAGAGGGAUGAUCAUGCAAAUAUUGGAGAAGGUUGAAUUCACUUGAAGAGAAGCACUUCGGAUUGAAAAGAAUUGACAUGACCAUUUGAUUGAGAAAAAUAUAUUAGCACUCCCAUAGAAAUAUGAGAACACCACUUAGAAAAUAUAUAUAUCAUCACUUAACAUCGACGCAACUCGAAUUACCAUACUCCAACAAAACAAAGGAUGGGGCUUACGAAACAAGCUAGAAACAAAUUCAUGACAAGAUUUUGUUUGAUAUUUUUGCGGCAAGGCUCGCAUGGGCUCGAUCUUAUAGUAGCCAUCAUGUACAAGGUAGUGCACAUGACAUACGAAGCAUCCCGAGGUCAUAGCAAGCUACAAGGAGUUUUUAAUACACUACAAGAACCGCUGUAAGAAAGAUCGUGAACAAACGAACCACUAGAUGUCGAACCAUGAUGUCCCACAAGCGUAUGGGAUCGCAGCAGUUUUCGAGGGUAGAGUAUUCAACCCAAAUUUAUUGAUUCGCUCACAAGGGGAAGCUAAAGGAUAUUCUCAAGUAUUAGCAGCUCAGAUGUCAAUUCAACCACACCUGAAAGAUUAGUGUCUGCAAGCAAAGUAUGAGUAGCAAGGUAGUAUGAUAGCAACGGCACCAGAAAAAGCUUUGGCAAUUCCCAGCAAUGGCGCCAGAAAAAGGCACGUUGACGGGAGAUUAGUGCCAACAACGUCUUGCAACAAGUAACAGCAGAGUAUCAAGGAACAGUAGUAGCAGCAGCAGCAAGGUAACAAGUAACAAGAGUAGCAGCAACAGCAGCGAAGUAACAGCAGUAGCAAAGUGGCCCAAUCCCUCUUGUAGCAAGGGACAAGCCUAGGCGAAGUAACAUAGCGGGACCAGUAGUAAAAGACUCGUAGGAAGUGGAUCGGUGAUGGAUGAGUGUUACGGAUGUGAUUCAUCCUGUAACAGCUAUAACACAGAGAGAUAUGUGGCUAGNNNNNNNNNNNNNNNNNNNNNNNNNNNNNNNNNNNNNNNNNNNNNNNNNNNNNNNNNNNNNNNNNNNNNNNNNNNNNNNNNNNNNNNNNCUCAUCCAACUCAUCACCGUCCAGCAAGCCUACGAUGAGAUUACUCACGAACGAUGAAGAGCAUCAUGGAAUUGUCGAUGGAGAAAGGUUGAUGAUGACGAUGGCGACGAUUUCCCCUCUCUGGAGCCCGAAACGGACUCCAGAUCUGCCCUCCAGAUGAAGAACAUGAUGUGGCGGCGCCUCCGUAUCGCAAAAUGCGAUGAAACCUUCUCUCUGAUUUUUUUUCCUGGCGAAACGGAAGAUAUAGGACUGAGAUUGGGGGCGGUGGUGCCACAUGGGCCCCACAAGUCUGCAUGGCGCGACCUAGGGGGUGGCCGCGCCGUGUGGGCUUGUGGCCCACUGGCACACCCCCUCACGUGGAUCUUUGCACGGGUAUUUUUGUUUUAUUCCAGAAAAAAUCUCCGUAAAUUUUCAAGACAUUUCGAGAACUUUCAUUUCUGCACAAAAACAACACCAUGCCAAUUCUGCUGAAAACAGUGUCAGCCCGGGUUUGUUCCAUUCAAAUCAUGCAAAUUAGAAUCCAAAACAAGGGCAAAAGAGUUCGGAAAAGUAGAUACGACGGAGACAUAUCAACUCCCCCAAGCUUAAACCUUGCUUGUCCUCAAGCAACUCAGUUGACAAACUGAGAGAGACAAAAGAAAAACUUUGACGAACUCUGUUUGAUCUUGUUGUUGCAACUAUGUCUAACUCACAACGAGAAUUUCAGCAACAUCACAAGGAAACCACAAAAGCAAAUGACAUCUAGGUCUCCCGGUAAACUCAUAUCAAUGGCAUAAUCAACUAGCGAGCAAAUAAUAAUAAGCCUCAAGUGUCAACACUUCAAUCAAAACAACAUGAAGCAGUGCGAAUAGAUGGUAUCUCGCUAGCUCUUUCUGAGACUGCAAAACAAAAAUGCAGAGCACCUUAAAAGACCAAGGGUUGACUAAACAUUGUAAUUCAAGGCAAUGAAGAUCCAGUCAUAGUCACACUCAACACAGUUAAAAGCAAAGCAUAAAAAUGACAGAGAUGCUCUCUAAUUGGUGCUUUGUAAGAGGAGGAUAACUCAAUAGGAACAUAAAUAGACAUGCCCUUCGCAGAGGGAAGCAUUGAUUUGCAGAGGUGCCAGAGCUCAAGCUUUUAAAACAGAGAUAAUAAUUUUGGGUGGCAUGCUUUCAUUGUCAACGCAAUGACUAAGAGUUCUCAAUAUCUUCCACGCUACACAUACUAUAGGCGGUUCCCAAACAAAAAAGUAAAGUUUUGACUCCCCCACCACCAAUCAAUCACACUCCACGGCUAGCCGAAUCAUCACGUACCGUCCAAACCAACAUCAAUCCUGGGGGAGUUUUGUUUGCAAUUAUUUUUUCGAUUUGAGCAUGGAACUGGGAAUUCCAAUUACCGGCCCCUUUCUCGUGAAUGAUAGUGAAUAAACACAUAUCGAGGAUAACACGCCUAGCAUGGAAGAUACCAAUAGCCCCCUGUCACCACAUGAGCGAUUCGGGCAUGCAAAACAGAUUAUUUCUUGAAGAUUUAAGAUAGUGGCACAUGCAAAUAUACUUGGAACGACAGGUAGAUACCGCACAUAGGUAGGUAUGGUGGACUCAUAUGGCACAACUUUGGGUUUAUGGAGGUGGAUGCACAAGCAGUAUUCCCGCUUAGUACAAGUGAAGGCUAGCAAAAGACUGGGAAGCGACCAACUAGAGAGCGACGACAGUCAUCAAAAUGCAUUGAGAUUAACUAACAUUGAGUGCAAGCAUGAGUAGGACAUAAAUCACCAUGAACAUGAACAUCAUAGAGGCUAUGUUGAUUUUGUUUCAACUACAUGUGUGAACAUGCGCCAAGUCAAGCCACUUGAAACAUUCAAAGGAGGAUACCAUCCUAUCAUACUACAUCAUAGUCAUCUCAACAUUCAUGUGGGCAACCAAGACAAACCAUUAUAAGCUCCUAGUUAAGUAAGCAUGGCAUAAGCAACUAUGAUAUCUAAGUUGUCAUUGCAAACAUGUUUCUCUCACAACAAAGCUGAAUCAAGCAUGAUGAGCUAGUCAUAUUUACAAAAACAAAAUAGAUCGAGUUCAUACCAGCUUUUCCAGGCUCAGUCACUUCAUAAUAUAUCGUCAUUAUUGCCGUUCACUUGCACAACCGAACGAUGUGAACAAUAAUAAGCGUGCUCGUGCAUUGGACUAUGCUGGAAUCUGCAGGCAAACACAAAGGAGAAGACAAAGUAAUAUGGCUCUUUGAAAGCUAAACAGGUAUGCAUGCUAGAGCCACUAAACAUUGUAACCAAUAUCAUCUACCUUGACCCAAAGAAAAAAGAAAACUAUCUACACGGGAAAGCUCCCAACAAGCAAAAGAAGAAAAAGAAAAUAUUUUUGGGUUUUCUCAAACUAGACAGACACACGAAAAGAAAACGAGAAAAAGAAAAUAAACUAGCAUGGAUGAUACAGUGGCAAAGUGUGAACACCAGCUAACAAAGUGAAAGCAUAAGAAAGAAUGUAAAGUCGGUGAGAACACAUACUCCCCAAGCUUAGGCUUUUGGCCUAACUUGGUGUACUCCCAAGGACGGUCCUCGCGAAACCCAAAAUCAUAAUCGGGGUUAUACGGGAGCGCUGCAGCCACUGCCCGAAUAGCUGCCUCACGGAGACGAGCAGCCGUCGCCUGCCUCUCAUACUCCUCUGCCUCUCCUCUGGUUAUGUAAUAUCUCUGUUUUACCUGAAAGUCAAAGAGAGCAGGAGCAGGAAGGGUAAUAUGGAAAACACGCUGCCGAUUAAAUAUCAAACGGUAUAGGAGGGAUUCGUCAUCCCUCUCAAGAAACUGGUAGCGUGUCAUAGCGACGCGAUCAAGGAAAGCUGUAUGGAGUGGGGGAUCUCCUGCGUGGAUGGGUACUCCAAGAAAAUUUGCUAUGCGAGUGGCAUAGAUCCCACCAAAGAAAUCCCCAUCAAUAGCAUUCUUAUUCAGCCUCCUUGCUAUAAUAGCUCCCAUGUUGAAGCUUUUGUCACCCGUCACUGCGCUCUUAAGGAUACUAAGGUCGGGUGCACAGAGGUGACAAUGCUCAAUCUUUCCCUUAAUGCAUCUGCCUAUGAAGAGGGCAAAGUAAUGCAAGGCAGGAAAAUGAAUACUCCCCAUGGUAGCUUGCGUAAUGUCUCUAGUUUCUCCAACCAUAAUACCAGCUCAAAAAUCUCUAACCGAAUAUUUAGGAGGAUCAUUGAGGUUACCCCAAAUAGGUACUUUGCAAAUUCUACAGAAAUCCUCUAAAUCCAUGGUAUAUGAUUUAUCAUAGAGAUCAAACAGUACCGAUGGCUCACGGCGAGCUGAAAAUUUGAAUCUACGAACAAAAGAAGCAGUGAGAGUAGCAUACUCUUCACAUUUAUCGGAGAUGAAUUCCUCGAGUCCGACAUUGCGAACAAAUGCAUCAAACUCAUCUUUGAAACCUGCCUCAAUCAUAAAUUCAUCAGAAGGCCAUUCGCAUGGUUGUACCUGCGCGACCCUAGGUUGGUAAGGAUCAGGCUCCCGAAUCGCGAGACGGGGACCUCUCUUGCUUGAGGAACCACCAUGAUAGUUUCUCCUGAACAUCUUCCUUUUCUGAAAUUUUCAGUGACCCAAAGGAAAGGUGAACAAGGUUCAACUAAACUUGUAGCAACUACUCCCACAAGUCCGUAGAGGCCAUAUUACGCAUCAAAACUACUUGGGACCAGCUGGAAUCAGCAUGCAAAGCUCUAGAACAUGGUCACCAAGGCAGCAAAAAUACGCGGAGUAUAAGGCACUAGAGCAAAAACUAACUUGACCAAUGGAGGAGUCACUUACAAAGGAGUAUUUUCCCCAAAACAGUUCGAAGAACGGUGAUUUGAGCAAAGAGAUCGAAAAUCCCAGCAAGAGGAGCAAGAACACGGGUUUGAGCUGUGAAACGAAUUUUUCUGGAGGUAGGAGAACUGGAUGGAAGCACGAAUGAGUGGAGGGGGUGCCUGUGGGCCCCACAAGCCUGGGUGGCGCGGCCAGGGGGGUGCCCGUGCCCCUAGGGCUUGUGGCCCACUAGUGUGCCCCCCAGACAGACUCUUUGUCCCAGUAUUUUUAAAUAUUCCAGAAAAAAUCAUACUAGAUUUUCACGGCGUUCGCAGAACUUUUAUUUUCGGGGUACUUUUCUACCGGACGCUAAAACAGAAAACAGGGAAAACUAAACUAAAUCUAUCAUUUUUCUUCUAAGCAACCUAAAGUGAAAGCUUGGAACAGAGGUUUGUGACUCCUCGAUUCAUCCAUCUCAUGGUCAUCGAAAGAAAUCUGUCAAUGGGGUUGAUCAAAUCCCCUCGACAAAACUUCUUGAAUCGCAAAAGAGAGAACAAAGAAUUUUUGAAUAGUCACUAGGUCACCUCAAUGGGGAUGUGUAUCUCCCCAACAAGCAAAUCAUACUUCAUCUUGACAUGAGGAAUAGGGCAUUCAAAGCUCCCAAUAAGAAUCGAUGAAGUUUUUUCGAUAGCAUUGAUGCAAUGUACUCAAUAUUGUUUCUUCGGAAAGUGCACCGUAUGCUCAUUACCGUUGACAUGGAAAGUGACAUUGCCUUUGUUGCAAUCUAUAACAGCCCCUGUGGAGUUUAAAAAGGGUCUUCCGAGGAUGACAACCAUGGCAUCGUCCUCGGGAAUAUCCAAGAUAACAAAAUCUGUUAAGAUAGUGGUAUUAGCAACCACAACAGGCACAUCCUCGCAAAUGCCGAUAGGGAAAGCAGUUGAUUUGUCGGCCAUUUGCAGAGAGAUUUCAGUGGGUGUCAACUUAUCCAGCUCAAGUCUACGAUAAAGAGAGCGCGGCAUAAAACUAACACCGGCUCCAAGGUCGCAUAACGCAGUUCUAACGCCGUUGCCUUUAAUGGAGCAAGGUAUAGUGGGCACACCGGAAUCACCUAGUUUCUUAGGAGUUCCACCCUUGAAAGUGUAAUUAGCAAGCAUGGCGGAGAUCUCAAGAUCAGGUAUCCUCCUCUUAUUAGUCACAAUAUCUUUCAUGUACUUAGCAUACGGAGACAUUUUGAGCAUAUCUGUCAAACGCAUCUGCAGAAAGACAGGUCUGAUCAUUUCAAUGAAGCACUCAAAAUCCUCAUCAUCCUUUUUCUUGGAUGGUUUGGGAGGAAAGGGCAUAGGUUUCUGAACCCAUGGUUCCCUUUCUUUACCAUGCUUCCUAGCAGCGAAGUCAUCCUUAUCGUAUCUUCUAGUCUUAGGUUGUGGGUUAUCAAGAUCAACACUAGGUUCAAUCUCCACAUCCUUUUCAUUGCUAGGCUGAGCAUCUUCAUGAACAUCACUAUUGAUAUUAUCAUUAGGGACAUGUUCAUCACCAAAAUAGUGUUUCAGCAUCAGAGAUAGAGGCAUCGUUUGGACUCUCAGGGGUAGUAGCAACAGGGUUGCUAGCGUGCAGGUUCCUAUCAUCUCUCUUCUUCUUUCUAGGAUGACUAGGUGCAUCAGUGCUAACUCCUUGAGACUCUUGUUCAACUCUCUUCGGAUGACCCUCAAGAUACAGAGGUCCUGGGUUAUUCUACCGCCUCUAGUGACGACUCUGACAGAAUUGUCAUUCAACUCAUAGAGCAAGUCAUUCUGAGCUUUAAGUACUUGUUCUACCUGAGUAGUAACCAUAGAGGCAUGUUUACUCAGAAGCUUAAGAUCAUUGACAUUUCUGUCCACACAAGCACUUAAAUGACUGAGCAUACGAGCAUUCUGUUCCAAUUUUCUGCUAACAUAAUCAUUGAAACUUUGUUGUUUGGCAACGAAGUUAUCAAAUUCAUCCAUGCAUAAGCUAGAGGUUUAUCAAAAGGAAUAUCACUCUCAUCAAACCUAAACAGAGGAUUUACUUCUACUACAUGUAUCGGGUUAUCGAGACCAUGGAUCUCUUCGAUAGGUGGUAGAUUUUUGACAUCUUCAGAUUUAAUGCCUUUCUCUCGCAUAGAUUUCUUGGCUUCUUGCAUAUCUUCAGGACUAAGGAAUAGAAUACCUCUUUUCUUCGGAGUUGGCUUAGGAGGUUGUUCGGGAAUAGUCCAAGCAUUCUCAUUGCACAAGAUGUUAUUCAAUAGAAUCUCAGCUUGUUCUACAGUUUGUUCCCUAAAAACACUACCGGCACAACUAUCUAGGUGGUCUUUAGAAGCAUCAGUAAGUCCAUUAUAGAAGAUAUCAAGUAUCUCAUUCUUCUCAAGAGGGUGAUCAGGCAAAGCAUUCAGUAGCUGGAUAAGCCUCCCCCAAGCUUGUGGGAGACUCUCUUCUUCAGCUUGAGCAAAGUUGUAUAUUUCCUGCAAGGCAACUUGCUUCUUAUGGGCAAGGAAAUAUUUCUCAGAGAAGUAGUAGACCAUAUCGUGGGGGCUACGCACACAACCAGGAGCAAGAGAAGUGAACCAGGUCUUAGCAUCAUCCUUUAGCGAGAAAGGAAACCGCUUGAGCAUAUAGUAGUGGCGGAUCUUUUCCUCACUAGUGAAUAGGGUGGCUAUAGCGUGUAGUUUGGUAAGAUGGGCUAUAACCGUUUUAGACUCAUAACCGUGAAAGGGAUCAGAUUCGACGAGAGUGAUUAACUCAGGGUCGACAGAGAAUUCAUAAUCCUUAUCGGUCACAAAGAUAGGUGAAGCGGCAAACUUCGGGUCGUAUUUCAUCCUAGCGUUCACAAAUUUUUCUUUCCACUUGCGCAGAAGUUUCUCAACAUCAUAGCUAUCCUUACACGCAAGAAAGUCCUCAGCUAUCUCUCCCUCCAUAACAUAGCGCGUAUCAGGCAUAACAAGCAAUUCAGGCAUAGUAGCAGGUUCUACUUCAAUAGUAUCAGCAGUUUCAGAAGCAUCAUCACAUCUAGCGGCAACUCUAGCAAUAUGUGCAUCAAGGAAUGCACCAAGUGGCAAAGCAGUAUCAGGCAUAGCAGGCAUAGUAUCAAGCAUAGCAUCAUCAGACAUAGUAUCAAGCAUAGCAUCAUAAGCAUCAUGGACAGCAGAAGUAGCAUCAUCAAGCACAUGUGACAUAUCAAGAUUUCAAGCAGGAGGUGAAGUCGCAUACUUACUCAGAACUGAAGGUGAAUCAAGUGCAGAGCUAGAUGGCAGUUCCUUACCUCUCCUCGUAGUGGAAGGUAGGAUUUUAGUUCUUGGAUCUUUCCGAUUCCUCAUAGUGAUCAGCAGACGUCAAUCCCAAGUGACUCAGAGAAUAUAGUUGUGCCUCCCCGACAACGGCGCCAGAAAAAGCCUUGAUGUCCCACAAGCGUAUGGGAUCGCAGCAGUUUUUGAGGGUAGAGUAUUCAACCCAAAUUUAUUGAUUCGCUCACAAUGGGAAGCUAAAGGAUAUUCUCAAGUAUUAGCACCCGAGUUGUCAAUUCAACCACACCGUAAAUAUUAGUGUCUGCAAGCAAAGUAUCAGUAGCAAGGUAGUAUGAUAGCAACUACACCAGAAAAAUCUUUGGCAAUUCCCAGCAAUGGCGCCAUAAAAAGGCACGUUGACGGGAGAUUAGUGCCAACAAAGUCUUGCAACAAGUAACAGCGGAGUAGCAAGGAACAGUAGUAGCAGCAGCAGCAAAGUAACAAGUAACAGCAGUAGCAAAGUGGCCCAAUCCCUCUUGUAGCAAGGGACAAGCCUAGGCGAAGUAACGUAGCGGGACUAGUAGUAAAAGACUCGUAGGCAGUGGAUCGGUGAUGGAUGAGUGUUACGGAUGUGAUUCAUCAUGUAACAGCUAUAACACGGAGAGAUAUGUGGCUAGNNNNNNNNNNNNNNNNNNNNNNNNNNNNNNNNNNNNNNNNNNNNNNNNNNNNNNNNNNNNNNNNNNNNNNNNNNNNNNNCUCAUCCAACUCAUCACUGUCCAGCAAGCCUAUGAUGAGAUUACUCACGAACGAUGAAGAACAUCAUGGAAUUGUCGAUGGAGAAAGGUUGAUGAUGACGAUGGCGACGAUUUCCCCUCUCCGGAGCCCGAAACAGACUCCAGAUCUGCCCUCCAGAUGAAGAACAGGAUGUGGCGGCGCCUCCGUAUCGUAAAACGCGAUGAAACCUUCUCUCUGAUUUUUUUCCAGGCGAAACGGAAGAUAUAGGACUGAGAUUGGGGGCGGUGGUGCCACGUGGGCCCCACAAGCCUGCAUGGCGCGGCCUAGGGGGUGGCCGCGCCAUGUGGGCUUGUGGCCCACUGGCACACCCCCUCACAUGGAUCUUUGCGCAGGUGUUUUUCUUUUAUUCCAGAAAAAAUCUCCGUAAAUUUUCAGGAUGUUCCGAGAACUUUCAUUUCUGCACAAAAACAACACCAUGGCAAUUCUGCUGAAAACAGCGUUAGUCCGGGUUAGUUCCAUUCAAAUCAUGCAAAUUAGAGUCCAAAACAAGGGCAAAAUAGUUCGGAAAAGUAGAUACAACGGAGACGUAUCAAACCACAACCUCACAUCAUGCAUUCGUGGGAAGAUAUCCUAGGUAACUACUUGAAUUUCGACCUAAGAAAUCCCAAAAUAUUUUGAUUACACAAUUGGGUCCACGGAUACAAGGAGCAAAACCUCGCACAACUCCUAACAUGAGUAACACAUCCAUCAACACAUAACCAGAGGUCUCGGAAGCUCAUCUACCUCAGACCCACGUAAUCACAAUGAUGCUCAUUAUGGCAGUACAUCUAGACGCUCUCCCCAAUAAUGGGUGACCCCAAAUUCCUCUUGCCACAAUUUGUACUAAAGCAAUUCCGGACAUCCUCCAUCCUGAGAUACUAAGGAAACCGAACGAUAACGAUGUGUCAAGAAUCCCCUGGAGCUCUACUACUCAGGAAUAGGAGGCACCAAGUACAAACCUCUGUCACAUCGGCAUCAUAGAGAUUCCAAAAUACCCAUGUGAUCCCAAAAUAGUUUGAGUGAGAAGAGGAUAGAAUUAAAAUUCCUACGUUCAGAUUCCUCACGAGAGCAUAGAACACGAGUAAAAAGAAUCCCACUCUCCGAUAUAUAACUAGGUUCAAAGUAGUUUUAACUAGACUCGACUCGGUCAAGUUCAAUCAAUCAAGGGGGCUCCUAGGUCGGUACUGUUCUGAUACCAACUUGUAAUGCCAAGGAUGCGAUCCUAUCCUUAUUUUGGCACGAGGCCCUCGACAGGGAUAGAAGUGCAUCUUGUCGUUUCACAAGAAUGGAUAUCAUUACAAGAACAUGUAAAGAAGAGAUGAGUAUAUGGAAUUGGCUUACACUCGCCACAAGCUACAUCAUGAAUAUCACAAUAUAGCAAUACAUUCGGUCACCAUGUAAAAGAGCAAGGACCGACUACGGACAAAAUCAAACGAUAAAAACGACGUCCAUCCUUGCUAUCCCAGGCUACCGGCCUUGAACCCAUCCUAUGAUCGAUGAACAGGAAGAAGAAACUCCAAAUAGAACAAUCAUCGCGCUCACGUCAAAAUAUCGCUUUACCUAUACCUGGAACUGUUGUUGUAGUAAUCUGUGAGCCACACGGACUCAACAAUCUCAUUUCCAAAGGUAUCAAGACAAGCGAAUCCUAAUGGGUGAGGUAUAGUUAAGUGGUGAGGCCGCAACAAACACUAAGCAUUUAUUUCAGUGAAUAACUUAUAAGUACAAGAACAAGAGCGGGGUUGAUCUACAAAUAAAAGGACGUUAAAUAAUAAUAAUAAUCAAGAAGUGAUCCUGGACACCUACAAACGAUCAAACAUAACCCCACCGUGUCUUCUCUCGGAUUCAAAACACAUGAGUAGAUACAGUCAUGGUUACACACAUAGUUGGCAUUUUAAUUGAUUUUACUUUGACCAAGUGUUAAACAAAGUUUUCAAGUUGCCAGAUAACUGCGGGUGAAAGUACGUGGAUGUCGCCUAGAGGGGGUGAAUAUGCGCUUUAAAACAAUUAUGAUUUAGGCUUGCACAAAUGCGGAAUAAAACUAACGUUUAAUUUGUCAAGCACAAAACCUAAAACAACUAGGCUCACCUAUGUGCACCAAUGACUUAUGCUAAGCAAGAUAAAGAACUAAGUGAUAGCAAUAUAUAUAACUAGAAACAAUACGGCUAUCACAAAGUAAAGUGCAUAAGUAAAGGGCUCAGGUAAGAUAUAACCAAGGCACACACAGACGAUGAUGUAUCCCGAAGUUCACACCCUUGCGGAUGCUAAUAUCCGUUUGGAGCAGUGUGGAGGUACAAUGCUCCCCAAGAUGACACUAAGGCCACCAUAAUCUUCUCACGCCCUCGCACAAUGCAAGAUGUCGUAAUUCCACUAAGGUAACCUUGAGGGCGGUCACCGAACCCGUACAAACAAGGUUGGGGCAAUCUACACAACUUAAUUGGAGGCUCCCAACAACACCACGAAGCUUCACCACAAUGGAAUAUGGCUUCAAGGUAACCUCAAAUGCUCGGGGAAAUCUCCACAUCCUAAUUGGAGACCCCGAAGCUUGCCCGGAGCUUUACACCACAAUGAUUGAGCUCCGAGGCACCACCAAGCUUCUAGGAUGCCAAAGCAUCCAAGAAGAACAAGUAUUAGGGUACCAAGCACCCAAGAGUAUAAAGCUUCUCAAACUUCACUUCCUCGUAUCACCGUGGAGAACUCAAACCUAUGCACCAAAUGCAAUGGGAAGGGCACAUAGAGUCCCCAAGUCCUUCUCUCCUAAAUCCCUCCACAACAACUAAUGCUACAGAAGAAAAUGAGAGGAAGAACAGAGAAGAAAACGAAUAACUUCAUGAUCUAGAUCCGAGGGGUUCCCCUCACAAAGAGGAGAAAGUGAUUGGUGGAAAUAUGGAUCUAGAUCUCCUCUCUCUUUUCCCUCAAGAACUAGCAAUACUAAUUGGAGGAAUUGACAGUUACCAAGCUCAAAGAAGGUCAACAAUGGGGGCAAAAACGAGCUCAAGAGUUGGGGAACCAUUGGGGAAGAAGACCCCCUUAAAUAGGUUUCCACAAAUCUGCCUGCUAUGUGUAGAAUUACAUAGGAGCGGUACAACAAGUGAUGCGGGCGGUACAACCGGCAUGACCGGUACAACCGCCCAACCACCACGCAACCAUCGGACCACAAUAGAACGUGGCCAAUGGUUCCACCGCAGUGCAACCGCUCAACUCGAGCACUGGACACGGUAAAGUCCCAAGCAGUAUAAUCGUCUGGAACACCGGUAGUACCGGGCUAUAUAAAAUAGCAGUACAACCGAUCCACGUUCGCCCAACAACCAGAGCUCAACAGAACUGUGUCUGGUUGAAGCUCAAUGCUGGGCCAGGUUCAACCGCCCAGGACUGCCAACGUGGGUCAUCCAGCUAUGGGUUGUACAACCGCCCGGGGGCAAUGGUACAACUGCUCGGGACCAAUCAAUGGCAGCACCCCAAGUGUAUCACCCCUGGAGUGGUGGUUACAACAGAUGACACGAGCGAGUGGUACAAUCGCUAGGGUUAGUGGUACAACCGUAUCAAGAAAAUAGGUGAGACCACAACUCCCAUAACUUUUGCAAAUGAGCUCCAAAUUGAGCAAACUCAAGCUUGUUGGAUUCAGGAGUGCCAUAACUUAAUAAGAAGAGGCACUUAUGAAAAUGCCAAUGAUAUAGAGAUGUGAAACCUCUAUGAAUGAAUAACUGGCAAAAACUCCAACAUCGAAAGCAUCAUCAAAGAUGCAUAUGGGCACUUUUUUAUGAACUCGAGCUUGUCAUGAAGAUGGCCAUAAGCUCUACAACACACAAAGAGAACCACCAAACAAGAACCAAGAAAGAUGAUGAAAGGAUGCAAAUGGUUUGAGCUCUCAAUGAACGAUACGAUCAAGCUACUCACUUGAGAUCCCCCCUUGACAAUACAACAAUCUAUCCUAAAAUAGAAAAACCUAUCAAGGGCAAGCCUAUACCUUGCACAUAGUCCGCUUGAGCUAGAUGAUGACGAUCUUAACUUCCUCAAGAUGGACUACCUUUCUUGAUGGCGUUGGAUCGAUGAAGACUAGAUGAUUGCUCCCCCAUACUCCACUAUGGGUGAGCCACUCUUAAGCACAUCUUCAUAAGUCCACUGCCACCACAAUGACGGCAAGCUUCAAGCAUGAUAUCUUCAUGAUGCUCCACUUGAACUUGCACACCGCAAUCUUGAUGACUAUCACCACUUGAUGUCAUCCUUCAUGGGUUGUACGAGAUCUUCCUCUUGACGCACACCCAUGGAAACACACCUAACCCCACAUAGAACUCUCACGAAGACCAUGGGUUAGUACACAAGCGUAAUGGACAAUUCUUACCAUCCCAUGGGAUCGCUUGAUCCCUCUCGGUACAUCUUGUACGCUUUGUGUGUUGAGAAACUUGAUUGAUAUUUGACUUAGUCUUGAUCAACCUUGUGUCUUUAUGACCAAUCUUUGGAUAAAGCCUUGAAUACAACCUUGGUCAUCAUAUAAAAUCCUUGAAACCAACAGAUGGACUUCAAGAAGUACCAAUGGACAAAUUCUACAAAUCUAACUUAAGGCAACCAUUAGUCCAUAGGAAUUUUCAUCAAUUACCAAAACCACAUAUGGAUAAAUAUGCUCUAACAGCAGGCACGACUCUCAGAAAGAUUUAACCCUGCAUGGUUGCUCCAACUCAUCCAUCACAAACUAGCCACAAGCUGCAUGGAAAACCUCAACCACGGAAAACUCGUAGUCUCCUCGGAAUCUCGGUGGAAGACCUCGGCCACUAGAUAGCCCAAAGUAUCCUCGAAAUCCCGGUGCACAAGAUAUUUUGUAAAAGGUAAAACAGAUCCAGCAAGGUCAUUCGGCAUGCCGACAAACUCGAUAGGAGACCCGUAUCUCGUUCUCAGGGCACGACCGGAUGAGCUUGACAUCGGGUUGGCUGAGACCCCGAGAGACCAGGGGGCGCCGGACAUCGCUCAGUUUCAACAACACUCAUGAGAGCACUGGCCUGGGUUGUUGAUUAAUUAUCCAUGGGUUAAUUACUCGCUAUGCGGGUUCAUUAAUUAUUAGGCAAAUGUAGUACCAAAGUUCGGCCCUGCCGGAAGAGUUUUAAACUAAAACGAAUUAUGUAGGGGUUCCCCAUAACAACCCCAACCAUGUUAGAAGCACUCAAUAUGGAACAUAACACCGAUAAACAAGUAACUAGGGCGGUAAAUGUGGAACAAAACACCGAGCAAAAGGAAACAACCUACAUCUGCAACUAGCAACGCUAUAAGAAUGGCUGAGCAACCGGUAACAUAGCCAAACAAAGGUUUGCUGGGAUUUGGAGGGGGGUAGAGGCUUUUCAUGGCAAUGUUGGGAGUCUUGACAAUCAAGUGGUAGGUAAAGAGACAUAACGAUAAAAGCGAGGCAACUAGCAUAGCAAUGAUAGUAAUGGUAUCUAGGGAAAUGAUCAUCUUGCCUAAUACCCGCUUGGAAGAAGAAUGAAUCCGUGAAGUAGACGAACCAAUGUAGAUGCACGAAUCCUCACACUCCGAAGCGGUUUCGAAACUCUAUCGAGAAGAAACAAUCCGGAAACAAACAAUCAACACAUGAUAAACACCACAACAUAUGCAUGCCAUGAUGCACAAACAAAAAUGAUGUAUGUCCAUUUAGUUAUGCAAGGCAUGACAAAGUACAACAAUCAACUUCUACACAUUAAGUGAAGCUCAAUAUGCAAUGAGUUGCAUAUUGAUGAAACUCCACAUUUGAAUUACUUAGUUCACUCCCGUUUAGGUACACGACAACGUUAAAUGUUGUUAAACAGGACAAGAGGUGAAGCAUAAAUAAACUAUACUAUCGAGGAAUUUUAAAUGAGGUCGGAAACAACUUAUAGUAUUUCUGAAGCGACCCUAUAAGUUAAUUUCUAAAUUGAUCCAGAUGUGAACUAAACACAUUUUAUAUUUAUUAAGUAGGAAAAUAAAUUGCAGCAUGUGAUUCUACACGUCAUUCCAGUCGAUUUACAUAUAUAGAUCAUUUAAAACGGAGCUAAGGACUAAACGAUAUAACCAACACAAGAUGAAUAUGUCAUGAAUGCAAAAUGUAUGCAAAUGACAACCACAAGCAUGUUAAAUCAAGGAUGCAGCAGGAUAUUAUGAAAUUACAUGAGCUUUACUUAGAGUUUAAGGUUGCAUUAACCACUCGGCAUACUUAGGCAAAUCAAAUUUAAACUCUUCUAUUCGAGGAUCACUCGGAGGACAAUGGAACCACAUCUUCAAGGAAAGUGUCGAUGUCGAUCCCGUGUGCGAUCCGAGUGGCAGCCUCCAUGAAGAUCUCCAUGAAGUCCUCAAACUUGGCGUUUUUCCUAUUGGCGACAUUGAGGUUGUUCAUCUUCUCCUCGUCCACUCCCUUGCAAUGAAUGCAGACAAGUGAGAGGAUGAUGUCAACUCUCGUGUGGUCUACUGACUUCUUGCAAGAUUGCACUCACCUGGCAACCUCCUUCACUUGGUCGAUGAUGGCCUACAAGUCCUUUGAGAAUUCCUCGCCAGGGGAAACUUCUCGAUUGAUCUCCGAGAUAGCUGAACUGAGCCACUUGAAAUGGACGAGCACCUGCUCGAUACGAUCCUCCAAACGGAGAAGGGACGGAGCCGAGCUGUCCCUGAGAAUCCCCCGCAAUGGAUCCAAUUCCCUCUCGAUCUUCUCAGUCUCCUCGUCGAUGUUGAAGCAUAAAUAUGGAAAAUUAAUUGACAAAAUAAAUCAAAUAUCACUCGAAAGUUGCCAAGACAAUGUGAGAAUCACUCGGGUCGGGGACGUACAUUUAAGGUUUUCGCUCAUGUCCCUACCAAAGUCUUCAAUGAACUGCUCCAGUUCAAGCUUCUUGGCUAUGAUAUGCUUAAACUUAGAUUCCCACUCGGCAUAGUGCUUCUUCAGUACAACAAGUUCCUCAGCGGACUUCUUCGCGGCAGUUUCCAAGGUUUACUUUUCUUCCUUCAGUUUUGCGACCGACUUCAACUUGCCGCCGGCCGCCUUGGUCUUAUGAUUGGCUUCCUUCCAAGCGGACGCCAGUUCAUUGUCCCUCUUCUCAAGGGCCUCUUUCAUGGUAACUAAAGAAAUAGAACUCUUCAGCCUCUCAUCAAUUUGAUAAUUUUCGCUACGGACAUCUCGUAAAAUAGCCCCAGUCGGACAGGGAGAGAGAACAAAUACUAAGCUAGUCGGAUGUAAAGUGCUUACCUUCCAGUGAGCGCUUCUCGUGCUCCAGGCGCACGCUUUUGUCUUUCUCGACUUCGAGGCUGAGGCGCACAUUCCACACCUUCUUAUCCAUGGCAUCAUAACGGCUCCCGAGCUCACAUACAUUCUGCGAGCAGAAAACACAAUUAGUCAAAAUUUAGCAAUGGAAACUCUAAGACUACCGCCGACUGCUUCAGUUGAUGACACUCUCGGGGACUACACCCAGUGGGUGUGCUCAGUGCCCUCACUAGAGAGAUGAAGAUAUAUAGAAAAGGUUAUGUACCCUAAGAAUCUAUGUCAAAUCAAAAUAUGAACUAAUACUACUGCUGGCUACUUCAUUCGAUGACAGUCUCGGGGACUACACCCAGCGGGUGCACUCAGCGUGCCCCCACUGGCAUGGAACAUCGAGUGGGUGUGCUCCGUGCAAACCCACUUGCGAAUAAAACAAAAAUACAUACAAAGGAAAAAAAACUCUCGACUGAUAUCAACAUUCACAAGGGUACUUACCCAAAUGUUCUUCCCUAGGGCUUCACUAGCGCUAUAUGCCUCCUUCAGUCGUCCGGUCAUUAGCUCCAACUGGACUGUAAUGCCCAAGAUGUGUUCUUAUCCUUAUUUUGGCAUGAGGGCCUUGACAGGGAUAAAAGCGCAUCUCGUUGUUUUGCAAGAAUGAAUAUCAUUACAAGUACAUGUACUGAAAAGAUGAGAUAUAUGGAAUUGGCUUACAUUCACCACAAGCUACAUCAGAGUCACAACAGUACAAUACAUAAACAUCAUGAAGAAGAGCAGGGUCCGACUACGGACGAAAACAAACGAUAAAAGAACGACGUCCAUCCUUGCUAUCCCAGGCUGACGACCUGGAACCCAUCCUAGAUCGAUGAAGAGAAAGAAGAAGAAACUCCAAAUGGCCAAUCAUCGCGCUCACGUCUUAAUAUCACUUUACCUAUACCUGGAACUGGUGUUGUAGUAAUCUGUGAGCCACAGGGGACUCAGCAAUCUCAUUUCCAAAGGUAUCAAGACUAGCAAGGCUUAAUGAGUGAGGUAUGGUUAAGUGGUGAGGCUGCAACAAGCGAAUAAGCAUUUAUAUGAGGUGGCUAACUUACGUGUACAGAAUAAGAGGGGGGAAGAUCUACGCAUAGCAGACGCGAACUACUGAUGAUCAAAUGAAUGAUCAUGAACACCUACUUACAUCAAACAUAACCCCAUUGUGUCCUCGAUCGGAGAAGGAGCUCAUGAAAGAGACGGUCACGGUUACACACUCAGUUGGCAUAUUUUAUUUAAGCUUACUUCAAAUUAUCUAGAACAAGAUGUUAAACAAAGUUUCUACGUUGCCACAUAACUGCGGGCAUGGCUUUCCGAAAGAUUUAACCCUGCAGGGGUGCUCCAGCUAGUCCAUCAUAAAUUACCACAAGCUGCAUAGAAAGCCUCAGUCACGAAACUCGUGACUUCGUCGGAUUCCUUAGUGGAAAACCUCAACUCUGAGAUUACCCAAAGUAUCACUGGAAUCCCGAUGCACAAGACAUUCGUCAAAGGUAAAACUAAUCCAGCAAGGCCACCCGGUGUGUCGACGAACCCGAUAGGAGCCGCGUAUCUCGUUCUCAGGACACAAUCGUCUAUGCAUAGUGGAUGAUAGCCAAACGCUCGAGUUGCCCCGAGGUGGCACCGCCGACUGCUAGGUAGGUGGACCAACACUCAUGAGGAGCACUGGCCCAGGGGUUGAUUAAAUUUGCUCGGGUUAAUUACUCCCUAUGUGGUUCAUUAGUUAUUAGGCAAAUGUAGUACCAAAGUUGGGCCUUGCUAGACGAGUUUUAUCCCAAAACAAAAAUCAAGGGGGUUCCCAUAACAACCCCGAUCGUGUUAGGAGCGCUCAAAUAUGGAAUAUAACACUGGUAGCCGGAACUAAGGGGCAAAGGUGUAACAAAACACCAGGUUAGAAAGGCCGAGCCUUCCACCUUUUACCAAGUAUAUAGGUGCAUUAAAUUAAUUAGCAAUUAAUAGGGUGAUAUGACAAGGAACCCAUGUUAUCACAUGGAAACAACUGGACCUGUAACUAGCAAUGCUAACAUAUACUUAAGCAAGCCGUAACAUAGCCAAUCAGUGGUUUGCUAGAUUGUGAACAGGUUGAAGGGUUCAUGGCAAUGUUGAGAGGAUGACAUUUAACACGUGGUAGGCAACGAGACAUAGCGAUAGAAACGAAACAACUAGCAUGGCAAUGAUAGUAAUGAUAUCUGGGGAAAUGGUUAUCUUGCCUGAGAUCCCUCUUGGAAGAAGAACAACUCCGUGAAGCCGACGAACCGACGUAGUCGAACGGGUCCUCACAUUCCGACACGCUUGCGGAACUCCAUCGAGACGGGGCAAACCGGCAACAAGCAUCAACACAGAUAUUCACCACGGCAAAUGCACGACAUGACGCACAACCUGAUAUGAUGUAUGAUUAGUUCAAAUAUGCAAGGCAUGCCAUGUCAAUUCACCUCACGCAAACACUACACAUUAAGUGAAGCUCGAUAUGCAACAAGUUGCAUAUCGACGAAACUCCACGUUUAAUUGUUUAGUUCACUCCCGUUUAGGAACACUAUAAUAUUAAAAUGUUGUUAACAUGGCAAGGGGUGAAGCAAAAAUUAAUCUACCUAUCUAGGCAUUUUAAAUAUGGUCGGAAACAACUUAUAGCAUCUCCGAGAUGACCCCAUGCGUUAAAUUCUAAUUCUGUCCAGAUUUGUCCUAAUCACAUUUUAAGUAUGUUAAACAGCGAAACAAAGUGGAGCAUGUGAUUCUACACGUCAUUCUACUCGAUUUACAUAUACAGAUCAUCUCCAACGGAGCUACGGAUCAAAAGUUACGAGUAAAAUGACAUUAGCACGAUACGACACGCAAAACGAUGCAACCAACAAGCUUAACCGUUUUAAUCAUGCAUGAGAGUGGGAAAAUAUUAAUCCACAUAAAAUUCUAGUCAAGUUACAUAUUUAAAUCACUCUGAUCCGACACACGGAUUGAAAACUACGCGCGUUUGAAAACAUGUCAUUUUCCUGAAAAUAAAUAAAUUCGCAGGCUCGAAAGAAAAAAACUACUAUGGGCCGAAUGUGGAACAAGCCUAAGCAGGGCAAAGCGGCAGAUAACUAUAACACGCCGGGUGCAGGGAAUAACCGGGGCUCGGGCUGGCUCACCUUGGGCUCGGCCCAGGGCGACGGAGGGAAGGUAGGUCAAGGCGUGGCCAGAACUGGGCCACGGAGGAGUCGUGCCGUGGCUGAAGCUGGGCCGAACCAAGUCGGUCCACGCGGGCGACCAAGGCAGCCCAGCCGGCCUCGCUGCCAAUCCGAGCUGGAUCGAGGAGAGGUGCUGGCGUCGGUUCCAGCAAGGGCGGCCUUCGGCGCUGGUUCACGACGGCGGGGCUCCGGUCGGCGACAAACGGGCGCCUGCAGUGCUAAAUAGGAAAAGCCCAUUAAUUUUUGCGUCCCCUGCCUGACUCCCUCUGUUGUUUGGGCUGCCACUUCAGUCGGGCCGACUUCCAGCGAGGUCGAUCGAUGGGCUGAGGCCCAGGCGAGUCAUGAAAGAUCAUUUUAGCGAAACUUUUAGUGCUAACGUAUAAUCAAAAUCAUAUUACGAUGGAAUAGAAACAUUAGCCCGAAGGUGAAGGGGCAGAAGCAAUAGCCUUUUUUUAUUAUUACUAGCAAAAAUGUCCGUGCGUUGCAAUGGGUAAAACAAAUCUGUACGGCCACAAUAUCCACCUAUUAACAACAAACGUGAUCGAUCCUAAUCGUCCACGUCGUCUAUAGUAGAAACAGUGACCCAUCUUCAGUUUCGACACUAUGGGCAAUGUUUUGAAUUUGGAUUUUAUUUUUUGUAGCAACAUACAUUGAUGUUGAGUUAAUGCACUAUUUUUUUUGAAUUUUUCCGAACAUUUUACAAUGUGCAACGGGGACCCGGUGCACCAGACACAUCCCCGUAUGUGCUUUUCAUGUAGAAUCAUAAAAGGUAUAGUUCUCCUUGAUCUGGUCUGAAAGAUUCAGUGAUUGAAAAUACUUGAGAUAGACUGAUCUUUUGGUGCUUCAGAUCACAAUUGCUUCACAAAUAAUACCAACUUACAUUUUAUGUGCUUCCCGCCAAGUCAUAUGUUGUACUUGCCCGAUUUAAAAAUAAACAAAAAGUGAGAUAUGCAGGACGCAAACCUUGGUCUUAGGUGCAGAAGUAUGGUACCCUAACAAGUGCGCCACUCCCACGUUCGUUGUAGUUUAACGGCUCGCUUAUUAAUAAACCAAUCACAGUGCAACGGUUUUUGAAAAAGAAAUACGAAUCAUUUUUUCUCACUUAUGGAUGACAUGGUGGGUAAUUUGUGACAACUUCAAUAGCAAUUUCUAUGACAUACGGACAGAAGCUAUCCUUGAUUUUAUUAGUAGGUACAAGGCUCUCUUCAAAUAAACUGAAUGUUGAACCGGGCCUGGUAUGUGUGUGUGUCUCGGUGAUGGAGAGGAUGGUCUCUAGAGCUUGACACCUAGGGUCAUAGGUGUGAAGCUUCUGCUCAAACUGGCCGGGGAACUUGUAUUUGGUAGAAGCAGUGACUAUCUUCUUUUCUGACAUGCAGCUGCCAAUGACUCCAACAACCCUCACAGCGAGCGGAUCAAGUAAAUAUAUUCCCACGUGCCCGAACAAAUGGAUUCGAUGAUACAGUGACCAUUGACCAGGGCUAUAAUCCAGCAGUUUCCAGAUCUCCAAAGUGGCAUCAGGAGAGAUUGUAUUGCGAAGGUCACGGACCAUACACAGCUGGUCAUCCAUGACAACUAGGUGCUCUUUUUAUGACCACAGGUGCACUUGUGACGUCCAGAAGGGCGGUGGUGAUCGGACACAUCUGAGGGUCUCGUCUGUCAAGGAAAAUGUUAAGACGGUAUCUCUUGUCCUUGUGGCGAUAUGGGAAGGAUCGAUGAAUCAGUGUAGUAAUCCAUUGGCAAACAUCGGUGGUACUUUGUCCGUCGUCGCAUGUAUAAUUGCAGAUGUUGCAUACCUGGAGAGCCUAAAAGGUACUCCUCCACCGGCCGCCAGCCUCCAGCAACCAACUCCAGGGGUGUACACUUCACACCUGUUCCUCUCCUUGUCGGAGAAGACCCAGUGAUCAACCUCACCACCUUGUACUCCCUAGUCCGGGCAUCAAAUCCAAGUCUGGCGGUGGAACGAUAUUUUGGUGGAGUACUGUGAGGCGGCAGGCGUGUGAUUGCCCGUGUAGCCGCAUUGCAAACAUAGUAAGCUGGCGCGGCAUCAUCAUAUAGAAGGGUGAGUCCAUGGCAUGGCGAGGGCGUCACUAUUCCCAUGGAAUUGCGGCUUGCGGUGUGAACGGUGGUGAGUAAGUCAUCUCUAGAGCCUGACGGCGAGCAUGAGUACAUUGUGGUGGAGUUCGGUCCUGUGGUGGGGGAGACAAGCGUGAGCAGGGCCGGCCCUAUGUUUCAGAAGACCCUAGGGCAAACUCAACGACAUGGGCCCCUAAGUCCUAAGACUAUAUAUGCGUGCGCGUGCGCUAUAUAAAUUACACACCUUCAUUUACAUAGCAUUAAAAGUAAACUUCCAUCUAUACGUCUAGUUUCACAAUGCAAUACCACGAAAGAAAGACUAAAAAUAUUGCAAAAUAAAACUAACAUGAUUACUUUAACCUGAAAUAAUAACCAAUUCAAGUGACACCAUCAACAACAAUAAUGCUUCUUAGGCAACAUUGAAUUUUCAUAAUGCUUUGUUUUAAAAAUAUGAUGAAAAGAGAGUUCAUGGAAUGAGAAGUUUGUACAUGAAAAUUAUAAUCUUGUAGAUAUAGAUUGAGGAUGAACCAAUAUGCAUUUAUAAAAAACAAAUUCUAGAUGACGCGGAUGAUCAAACGUGAGUGAUUAAGUGACCACCGGCCAGGCCGGCCGCCCAAAGCAGGUGCGCAACACCGUCGGCUCGUAAUUAGCUGCAUACUUUAGUAAUUAAUUGCACGUGAUCGGUACAUGCAAUCGCUACAUGCGCGUGCAUGCAAGCAUGUGUGUGUGUCGCACGAAGGGUGUUACCUGGGGACUGGGGAAUCGAGUGAUUGAUCUACAAGAGCCGUUGUUGCACGCUGGACAAAAAAACAAAUUAUGUCUGCAUAUACCCCGAUCAUGGCCCCCUCCCAAACCGGGACCCUAGGCGGCCGCCUCUCCGGCCAUACGCCAGGACCGGCCCUGAGCGUGAGUAGCUUUGGUGCUGGUCUCAAGGUCUCACCAGCUUGGAGAUCUCCAUGUGGAGGCUCCAGAAAUCCUUGGAGGACAAAAGAGCAGCCCAAGCGCGGUAGAUGGACCAGAAGCGGAGAAUGAAUUUGACAUGGAACCGAAGUAGCACCUCCAACAUCAUUUCAUCAGGAAGCAACAAUGUACAAAAAGAUAGUAGAAGGGCCUUCUUCCUCUUGUUGUUGUUGCUUGGGCACACCCGAUCUGCUAUGAUGGUGGCAGCCUCGCCACUCUUCCUUUUGCUGCUAUCCAUCAUCAUCAGGUCUGUCAUCCAGAUGACAGCUGCGGCCAAUUAACCGGCGAUUGUAAAAUACAGCAAGAUGAUCUGCAUUGAGAUCAACGCACAUGGAUAAGAUAAUCUGGGUGAACCUUAGUAUUGUGAACCUUGAUGCAUACUCUCUGCAUAAAUUUGAAAAGAUUUGGAUCCGAGGUAACCUAAUUUUAUGCUUGAAUAGUGAACUUGCUGCUGUCAGAAGUACUUAUUAGCUGAGAUAAAUAAAGACCAAAACACAUGGCACCUUUGGACAGUCAUAUUUCGAUUUGAAACGAACGGCAAGGUCAACCCAAUUAAUUUCCGACUUUUACUGGCUGCCGUUAGAAGUAGUGGUACUACUACUAAAUUAGUGUGGGUAGUGAAGAGUUGUCAAAAUAAUUAUAGCACAAGGAAAAACGAUCGACGACGUAACGAGAUCUGGUUAGACACCCGCAAAAUAGAAGAACGAGAUCUGGUUAACAGAGAAAAGAAACGACGCAGGAAAAAAACAAAUCCGUGGAGAGGGGCAAGCUAUCGCAUCCUUACCAAAAGCUCGCUCCAACGGAAUCCAUCCGCCUGCGACGAACAGGGGCAGCGAACGCGGAUGGCCGACGAACGCGAACGGCGGCGAACAGCUGAUGGUGGCGCGUACUCCUUACAGCCAGCCGCGCCUGCCUCCGCGAGCGCAGCGCCGAGCCUCCCGCGAGCAUAGCGACUCCUCUAGCCAUUUCCCGCGUCCCUUGGACGCUCCGUGCAGCCGUCGCCUCUCGUCUAUGGAUAAGAAGACGCCGUAGGAAGGGGUGAAUUUGUAAAAGCUAAAUGUUUUUCCCACUAAUUGGAGGACUGCGGGUUGAAUUGUGAUAAACAGAGGAAUUGUUUUGAAAAAACGUCAAGCCACUUUAUUAUUAAGAAGAGAUAAAUAGAUAUAUAUAUAGCUGUAAAAUAAAUACCUGUGUACAAAAUUACACCGAUUCCAAGCGGGCAUCAGCCUUUUGUCGUGACUCUGGCGGGGGAAGCUGGCCUUGUCUUCUUCUUUUCCGGUGGCAGCCAGGGCAGUGAAGGAGGGGUAUCUCUUGGCUCCUAUUUGAGGCGGCUUUGCUCGGUUCUGAUCUACCGCACCAGCCACCAGGGGACUGCCGCUUUUUGGGCUUCUCCAUCUUCAUCUCCUCUUCUUGGUUGGUGUUCUCGAGAGGUAGGCGAGAUUUUUCAUCUAAAUAAUCCCAGCUUGUGGUGGCUGGUUCGUUUAUCUUGAGCUGGUUUCCGCGCUAGCAGCUGCGGGGAUCCUCGGUGGAGAGAAGAAGAUGUCGGGCGCCGCACUGGUCGCGAUUGCGGCUUCCAUCGGCAAUCUGCUGCAGGGGUGGGACAAUGCCACAAUUGCUGGUAUGCUCUAGCCAGAUUUGUUUUACUACUUUGUUAGAUCGCUCCGGUGAAUUUGGGGGUUCUAGUAGUUUUGGGAGCUUCCUUUAGAGUUUAUAGACCAGAUGCUGUUCAGUGCUACUGCUAGUCUUUUUGGAACAAAAGACGGGAGUAAUUUCCCUUGAGCAAACUGCCUUAUUUUUACUUGGACCCUAAAAGCAGCACCGUACCAACGAAGAUAAUAAUAAUUGUCAAGACAAGUUUCGAUUUUGAACACUUCCUUGAUUAUCCCUCAUCUGUAAACUUGCCGUCCUUUACUUUUACUCGAGACACAGAUUAACAGAGCACGCUUUUUGUCUCCAGGUGCUGUCCUGUACAUCAAGAAGGAAUUCCAACUCGAAAAUGAUCCGACCGUGGAGGGGCUCAUCGUGGCCAUGUCGCUCAUCGGCGCAACCAUCAUCACCACGUUCUCCGGACCGGUAUCAGACUGGGUUGGCCGGCGCCCUAUGCUGAUUCUCUCUUCAAUUCUCUACUUCCUCAGCGGCCUAAUCAUGCUAUGGUCACCCAAUGUCUAUGUACUGCUUCUGGCACGCCUUGUCGAUGGCUUCGGUAUCGGCUUGGCUGUCACGCUGGUGCCUUUGUACAUCUCAGAGACGGCUCCCUCGGAGAUCAGGGGACGGCUCAACACGCUUCCACAGUUCAGCGGGUCAGGAGGGAUGUUCUUGUCAUACUGCAUGGUGUUCGGGAUGUCACUCUUGCCAUCACCUGAUUGGAGAAUUAUGCUUGGUGUUCUCUCCGUUCCUUCAUUGUUUUUCUUCGGCUUGACAGUAUUUUACCUGCCAGAAUCUCCGAGAUGGCUUGUCAGCAAGGGCCGAAUGGCAGAGGCCAAGAAGGUGCUGCAAAGAUUACGGGGAAGGGAGGAUGUCUCAGGUCUGUUUUUUUCACUGAAAACCCCAGAUUCAUUUCACCUGGUUUGCUACAGACCCCUUCUUUAAAUUCAUCCCUGAUAGUGGAUUGCAAUUAGUUACUUAAGUGAUAUGCACUAGUGUUAAUUGUUACUAUAUUUGAGUUGCACAAGUCUUUUAACAAAAUAUUUUGUUUUAUUUGUACAAUAUGUUUGUCCUUGAUCAUAAAUGUGACCAAAGAGUAAGAAGUUUUCAUUCUUGUUAAUAUUAAAUCCAUGCUGGUACUUUGCACACCACAUAGCGUCAAAGUAGUAGUAGUAGUAAUUUAGGCAUUUUUGCUCUUUAAUAAAUGACCUUGUUGACAAAGCUCAGAUGAACUGUGGCUAUAUUGGUUGGGUUGGAGCUGUGCUUCCGUACCCCCCCCCCCCUCUUCAAAAGAAGGGUAGUUUGGUCCAUCCACAUGAAAGAAAACAGUUAAGGAAUUAAUCUUCUAAUUGGUGUUGUGAUUAGUUAAGGUGAGUGGCGGAGCUGCCACGACCGUCACCUUGGAUGUGGGCGGGGUAGAUGUAGUACACGUCUGACGUGUCCUCGGGGAGCUCCGGCGCGCGACGGCAACCUCGCAGAGCAGCGUCGAGUGGCCGCAUCGGCGUUGGCGGUCGCUAAAGUACUCCCCACGAAGAACACCUUGCCAUACCGAUGCGCUUCUGGCGAGAACACUGCACAUAGAGCCUAAUCGAUUUCACCGAGACACGCAAGUGUGAGGCAACAUGCUGGCUGAUUGCCCUUUCUAGAGCACUCGUACAUGAUGGCUUGGUGAAUUCUCACUAGUACAUGAUGGCUUGGUGAAUUCUCGCUGGAUGGAAAAACACACGCAGAAGCAACGCGCAUACGAAUCAAUUUUAGUGUAGUCGGCCUUGCGGUGCCGCGCACAUGUUGAUGUUGCUUGGUGAGUGAUUUGGCAGCCCAGACCUUGCGAGGAGGGACGCGCGCCGCGCGGCCGCUGCCGUGGUUAGACGUGACCUCAAGAACAAGAUCACAAAACCGCUCGCGUCGCCUCCAGGGAGGCGACUCGGGCGCCCUAGCCGCCGCCGCCCUUGACCUCCCUCCUCCCCUGCCGCCGCGGGAGGAGGCCGGCAAGCAAAGCUCGCCCGACGGACGGCGGGCCUUCCUCCCUUCUUCACGAGGGGAUCCUCUGGCUGAGAUGCGACGGCGUUCCUGGGCGUACGGCAUGGAGGCGGAGUUGGCGCGCUCGGGCGGCGGCCCGAUGGGAUCCUGGCGGCGCUGCGGGGGCUGCCGGCGGAUCUGGGGUUCACAACCCCAGAUCGGUUCUCCUUCUCGGAUGAUGCUGGAUCUGAACAUGGUGGUGGCGUCAUCCCCUUCGUCAGGGAUGACGGUCAGGUGGUGGGUCCUUGUGACGUUGCCGGUGGCGGCGGAUCUUGGGAUCCCGCUUCCGGGGACGUCGCAGGAUGUGGUGGCCCGUGCAGGAGAGAUGGGUUCUUCGAACAGAUCUGGGUAAAAGCUUGCUUUCGGCUAUUGCCAAAGCCGGCGAUGGCGGCGUUGUCUACGUCGUUUCCUUCCUGAAGGCAUCGCUGAGGAGAAGUUCAAGGCCACUCUUUGCUACCUUCGGGGGAAACCCUAGAUCGGAUGACGGCGAUGCUCUGGUGUCAUUUCCCUCUUGGGGGCGUCAUUCAUGGAGGUACACACGGGCUCGAGGGAUCAUUGGUCGGCAUCAACGAUGGAGCGGCGUUCCUUGUGACACAUCGACGUCGUGGAGUCUCGGCGGCGAGGCGCACCAAAGUCUCGACGACGGAUGCGUGAUGAUGAGCGCGCGUAGGGAGGAGGCGCUGUCUGGCGCCGUGGGGGCAUCGACGGCAGGCCUUGCAAGGUCGAUGCGUCAGUAACUCUUCUGAAGAUGGAUUGAUGGAAAGCGGCGGCGACGACCUAUGAGGGUGCGUUGGACCGGUUUGUGCCCCUGACCCGGUAUGUGGCUCGGUCGGGGCCUCCGGCUUUAGAUGUUAGGCUAGGUGAGAGGUUUGGGUAUGUGGCUCACACUUUCUGCACCCCUUCAUCAUUGGAUAGGAGUAGCGACAGAUAUUGCCAAGAGGGCGGCUUCAGAUAUAUUGAUGUAUUGCUUUGUAAGAUCUUUGUGAAUAAUUAAUAAAAUGGCUGCAUGCAUCUUCCAGAUGCAGAGGCCGGGGGUCAUCCUCGUUUUCUAAAAAAAAGACGUGACCUCAUGAUUUCUUCCCUGAUUCCCACGUGUCCUUAAUUAUCAAGAGGUACGAACCGAUCUCAACCGUUGAUGUGUUUAGGGGGGGUGUACCGAAGCACAAGUGGGUCGGUAAAUGGACACAAGUAUGCAACAUAAGUUAAGAACUUGCAUAAGCUGCUCCUUUGAGUAAGGUAUUCAAGUAUGAUAUGUUUUUAAAGAUAUAAUGUUUGGGUAUCCCUCAAAAAUAAUUUCACAAUUCGGGUUUCAGUAUUUUUAGAAAAGGAGGCCUCGCCCCGGCCUCUGCAUCGAGGGAUGCAUACAUCCAUAUAUUAAGCAAACAUAGUGUUCAAGAAGUACAAAGUAUAUAAAAAAAGGAAAAAAAAAGAAAAGAAAAAGAAAAAAAAAGAUACAUGGCGAACAUCGCGCCUCGGCCUGAAAUGGCUAAAAGAUAAAGAUGACUAAACACCUAUCCUAUUAAUAUGCCGCCAUCCAAACCGGUUGAAGAUACCCUGUGCUACCAUCUUCCAGCGGACACACCCAGUAACCAUAGGCUCCCUGGCUGCCACAGGAGUUAGUAACGACCAUGUACGGAUCAAUGCAGUAAUUCUGUAGAUAACCUGCAGAAAGUGAAUAUCACGAAUUCUGUUAAAAACCAAAUCAUUUCUGCUAUUCCAUAAAGCCCAAAGAAGAGCACAUGCUCCGACACGAAUAGAUUUAGCCAAUUGAACAUCAACUCCCUGUAACCACGUUCCAAAUAACGAGUUCAAGUUAACAGGAGGAGAGAUGUUAAAAGCAAUAUGAAUUGAGCGCCAAACAAGUUUAGCCAUAGGACAGUCGAGAAAGAGGUGCUGAAUUCGGGUUUCAGUAUAGUAUGUUGGAACCUAAGUGUUGGUAAAUUUCACUUGCUGGUUUACGAAUAACGAGUAAAGUUAUAGUUAUCACCUCAAAUCAAAUCUGUGCAGGAGAAAUGGCCCUUCUUGUUGAAGGUUUGGAGGUUGGAGGAGACACCUCCAUUGAGGAGUACAUAAUUGGACCAGCUAAUGACCCAGCUGGUGAUCAUGUUGUUGAUGGCGAUAAUGACCAAAUAACACUAUAUGGGCCUGAAGAGGGCCAAUCAUGGAUUGCUCGACCUUCCAAGGGACCCAGCAUGCUUGGAAGUGUGCUUUCUCUUGCAUCUCGUCAUGGCAGCAUGGUGAACCAGAGUGUGCCCCUUAUGGAUCCUCUAGUCACAUUUUUCGGAAGCGUUCAUGAGAACAUGCCUCAAGCUGGAGGAAGCAUGCAGAGUACAUUGUUUCCUAACUUUGGCAGCAUGCUCAGUGUGGCAGAUCAGCAUCCAAAAACUGAGCACUGGGAUGAGGAGAACGUUCAUAGGGACGAUGAGGAAUACGCAUCUGAUGCUGGAGGUGACUACGAAGAUAAUGUCCACAGCCCGCUGCUGUCGCGACAGACCACAAACACGGAUCGGAAGGAUCAUGGUCACCAUGGAAGCACUUUGGGCAUGAGAAGGAGAAGUCUCUUGGAAGAGGGUGGGGAGGCAGUCAGCAGCACUGGUAUUGGUGGGGGGUGGCAACUCGCAUGGAAAUGGUCAGAGCGACAAGGCGAGGAUGGCAAGAAGGAAGGAGGCUUCAAGAGAAUCUACUUGCACCAAGAGGGGGUGGCCGACUCAAGAAGGGGCUCUGUUGUUUCACUUCCUGGUGGGGGUGAUGCGACCCAAGGGGGCAGUGGGUUCAUACACGCUGCUGCUUUGGUAAGCCACUCGGCUCUUUACUCCAAGGAUCUUAUGGAAGAGCGUAUGGCGGCCGGUCCAGCCAUGACUCACCCAUCGGAGGCAGCUCCCAAAGGUCCAAUCUGGAAAGAUCUGUUUGAACCUGGUGUGAGGCGUGCACUGUUUGUCGGCGUUGGAAUUCAGAUGCUUCAGCAGGUAGAGAUUAUGCUGCUGAUUUCCUUAGUUACUGUAUGUUUGCCAGAUUUGAACAAACAUAUAGUAUGAAACUGGCCAACAAGUACUAAGUCGAUUUUCCUUGUGCAGUUUGCUGGAAUUAAUGGAGUUCUCUACUAUACUCCUCAAAUUCUGGAGCAAGCUGGUGUGGCGGUUCUUCUUUCCAAUCUUGGCCUCAGUUCAGCAUCAGCAUCCAUCUUGAUCAGUUCUCUCACCACCUUACUCAUGCUCCCUAGCAUUGGUGUAGCCAUGAGACUUAUGGAUAUAUCUGGAAGAAGGUAACUAACUGGUUUGCUUUGGUUGAAUCAUCUCAGUACUCAGUAUUAUCCACUUUUUCCGAUUAAACAAGGUCUUAUAGUUUUUCCUUUUCUGCAGGUUUCUGCUACUGGGCACAAUUCCCAUCUUGAUAGCAUCCCUAAUUGUUUUGGUUGUGUCCAAUGUUAUCACCUUGAGUACGGUGCCCCACGCUGUGCUCUCCACAGUUAGCGUCAUUGUCUACUUCUGCUGCUUUGUUAUGGGCUUUGGCCCGAUCCCCAACAUUCUUUGUGCAGAGAUUUUCCCCACCAGAGUCCGAGGUGUCUGCAUCGCUAUUUGCGCUCUCACAUUCUGGAUUUGUGACAUAAUUGUUACCUACAGCCUACCUGUGAUGCUGAAUGCUAUUGGCCUGGCAGGUGUCUUUGGUAUAUAUGCAAUCGUUUGCUGCAUCGCCUUUGUGUUCGUCUACCUAAAGGUCCCAGAGACAAAGGGUAUGCCCCUCGAGGUCAUCACCGAGUUCUUUGCGGUUGGGGCAAAGCAAGCGCAGGCCACCAUUGCCUGAUUUGCCAUGAAGCUUUGCUUUCAGUUUGCACACUGCACUGAAAAUUGCAAAUUGGACGGAUCCUCGUGAGGAACGGAAAAACUU